rnacentral:lncRNA from 1 species
UUCAGAGAAAUUUACACGUUGAUUCUUUUGCACAAUAUCACCUUAUAGAGAAAAAAAGAUGGGGGUGGGGGCAUCACUUGAAAUCAUUACUAAUUUCACAUAUCAAGUUAUCUGGAAAAUUAAAGUAAAAGUACAUUCUCAAUUUAACACUUCAAGACUCUUUGGGCAUAGCACACUAGAAUACUUUGCCCAGCUGGGGCGUGAAACAAAUAUCUGCAAGUAUUGUGAAACUGUAUAAUGUAAUCAUUAGUAAAUGAAAGUUAGCAAUAGAAAUGAAACCCCAAAACUAUCUUUUGUCAACCACACAAUUUCAAUGACAUAUUACUGAUUAUUGAAUUUUUCACUUUAUGUUGAUGUAAAAAACAAUGUUUUACUCACAGCUCAUAAACUAGCUAAUGUUUCACUAGAUGUUAUUAAUGAUAUCACAUUAUCACUUCAAUUGUAGUAUGCUUGAAAAAACUUCUCACAAUGUGAUAAUAUGAUUGAAAAUAUUUAUAGAACUAGGUCAACUUACAGAAAAUUGGUUUACCAAUACUGGUUUUUUUUUCGAAUAUUCUAGAGAAUAGUUGCCAAUGCAUAAAUUCGCCUUUUAAACAUCUUCUGAUGCUUCUUGCUUUGAACAUUGUCUCCCAUCAUAUACACAUGUAACAAAGUUGGUAACAAUUAAAUUGAACAUCAAUGAUAUUUUAUAAGGCACCAUCAUCACACAUUGCAAGUCAUUAUUAAAAAAAUUUCCACAAUUAUGCAGACGAAUACCAAGCAUUGAUAGAGAAACACGUUCUUUUUUUACUUCACUUUGAAGGGAAAAGGAGUAUAAGAAAGACAGUUUUUCAAAAGAAUGAAUCAAAUUUGUGCUUUCUUAUAUAAUCUUGUUUCACCUCUCCAUGAAAAGGAUCAACUUAAGAAAAUAUAUUUCAGAAUUUUGCCACAAGGGAAAAAGACUGUCCAAGAUACCAAUUUGAGUAGAAAAAGUAUAUCCUUAUAUUGCACUUUGAAAAGAUACAAGAAGUGAUCAAACAAAUUACAUGUACCACAUCUUAGUAGUUUAUUGGGAAAAAUAACUGGGAAGUUGUUCAUCCGUAAGUUUUAAUAUAACUUACGUCAUUUAAUAGAAAAACUAUUCAGAUUCUGUAUUGUUGCAGCCUUUUGCUAAAUCAUUAAUGAAUCCUCUAAUUGCAGCCUAGAAAAAGAGGAUAAAAGCAUACAUACUCAAUACCGCCUAUUGGAAUCCCAUGGCAAGAUGUUGUAUGACACUUCGUCAAAGGAUCUAGAAAAAUGUUCUACAAGAACAAGAGAAGGAUGCUCUUACCAAUAGGAGAUCCACCAAUUCAAGUUUGCAAUUCUAUAAUAGAGGAGAAUUUACCUUUCCUUUGAUUUUUUCCUCUCAGAGAUAUCACCAUAGCCGAUAACCAAUAGGAACUUACGGAGAAUCGAAAAGAAGCUAUUAUGGAAACAAAUAUGAAGGAUAAAAUCUCACAACUAAUGAGAAUGAAUAUUAGAUUGUCAACUGCAGGACCACUAAAGGCAACAAUCUGGCUCAUUUCUAUGUUUUGUAACUAUUUAAGUUGUAUAUCACCAAGUAAACAUAGUAGGACAACUCCGUGAGAAGUUCUGGUGAUAUUUUGGAGACAAAAACUGAUGCUAACAUGUAAUAAUAUGCACUAGUUCAAUGUAAAUAGAUUGUUCUAAACAGAAAUUGAUCCACAAUAUAAACAAUUCGAUUAAUAAGUAGCACUGUAGUCUAUAGAAAAAUAAAAAUGUCCUGUUAUUGAGAAAAUUCCUAACGUCAUAUAGAAGCACAAAACUCUAAUUUCAAAAAAUUCAGAAUGAAAGCACAUUCAAAAUCAUUGCCUAAAAAUUUUGAACAAUCUUACUUGUUCAAAAUGCAUUAGAUCACAUUAAGAAAACAAAACAUUAAGAUAAUGUCACGGUUAGAACUCAGCUUUGAUUCUCACGGCAACCAUAGCUCAUAAAAUGGAGAUUUCCAACUGAAAUCAACUGAAAAUAGUAACCAAAUAAAGAGAAAAUAGAAAGGGGUAGAGGGUGAAAGAGAAAAUUAGAAGAAAGAGAUGAGAAAAGCUUUUGAAUGAUUUCAACAAAGUUUACUGAAAUGACCAGAUUACAAAAGCUGCCCUUCAUCUUUCCCUAAUUAUGUAUCUAUAGUCUUCCAAUACAGAGAAAAUGCAUAUCUUUGGAAAAAUGCAAAAGGCGUGUUUUAACUAACUUAAUACAAUUGAUUAAGACAAAAGGUGUCGUUUGGUUGCAAGUAAAUUGGAGUCAUUUCCCAAUUCGAAUUUCCAUUGCUUCCAUUGGUUGUCUUCUUCCAGUUUUCUCCCAUUUCUUCUUCCUAUCUGAUCUUAAUUUCUUUCUCCCCCAUUGAUUCUCCACGUGAUAGAGAAUUUUGAAACCAUACUAUUUUCAAUCGAGUUUGAACCUUCACUUUAAUAUAGAUCUAUUAUAUCCUCUUACAACCCAAUAAAUGAAUUAAUGGCAACCCAAUAAACGAAUUUAUAGCAACCAAAAAACCCAAUCUGCUUUACACGGUAUUUUCUUGCAAAUUGAUAUAAUCCAAUAAAUGAAAUUCAAUAAACACUACAUCUAAGUCAUCUCUGGUGCUGACUCGUAUAGCUAGGUUAAUGGGCUCGAUGGCUAAUGUCUAAUUGAAGGUGGCGAAAUAGUUAUCUUGUGGCGGAACAUCAAAGUAGAGAAAAGUGAAGGGCAAAGAAGACGGGGGAAUGAAAAGAUAAGUGGGAAAGAAAAAGACAAGAAAGAAAACGUGGAAAAGAAAAAGGAAAAAAAAAAAAAGAAAAAGAAAAAGAAAGAAAAGAAAAUUGAAACUUCACUUCAAAUAUGCAUUUUGUAGGGACUAAAAAUACAAAUAAAAACUGAAAAUUUUUCCUCCAAUUAUUAGCCUAAAAAUAUGUCAAAUAUUUUUGUCAGCAAAAGAUAUACCAUUUCUGUUAAAUUUUUUGUCGAAAAGAAUACGAAGCCCCCAUUUGGCCUCCAUUAAUUUUGAUUAAAAUGGGGGAAUAGUAUUUUUUUUCAAAAUAGAUGGUUGUAAAAGAAUAAAAAGUUUUCAAUUUAUGUGUAAUAUUAUUUUAUUGAAAAUUGUGUGAUUGAAAAUAAGAGAGAGAAAAGUUUAAUUUAAUUUGAUGAGAUUUAAUGGGGGCCAAACGGGGGCAAAUUUUUCUAAGCACAAGUCCAGCUACUGGGGCCUUUCUAAUCCAUAUGUCCUUUUUCACAACGAUUGUUUAUUUGUUUAUCGAGGUGAGGAAAGGUGAAUUCCACAUACAAAUUUCAGUUUGCCUUCCAAUAUUUUGUAGAAAAGUAUAAAUUUAUUAUAGUGAUAUUCCGAUUCGCUUUUGCCUAAAAAUGCAUAAGGCUUUCAUGCUAGUGCUGCAUUUGUCCAAAAUCAAUUAGAAAGCAUAUAUAAAAGUAUGGAUGAAUUGAUGGAAUCAAAAGAAGAAAAAAUUUGGAGGCAAAAUGGCCAUGCUCAUUGUUUGCAAGAACUGAGUCUUGAGGCCAUGUGUGGGCAUAGAACAAUAUAGCCAUUGGCUGAUUUUUUCUGAUUUGAUUCUAGGCAACUUUUCAUGAAAAAAAAAAUUAAAAAAAUCAACUUUUCAAGAGAGAUUGGUAAUAUUUUGUGGAUGGUGAAUUGAACUAUAUAAACAAGUGAUAGAUUUCAAUUAUAAAAGUAAAAAAUCAACAAUAACCAUAUUUUAGUGUCUUUAAAUCCAAUUCAUCUACAUAUUCAAACAUUCAAAAGUGUUCUUUAAGUUUUGGAAGAUAAUUACAAGUGCUUAAGUAUUUUCUUCCUCAAGGCUUUUCUUUAAGCACCAAUUGAAUCCUAGACGGGACAAAUAUCAUUUGAGGACAACGAUCUCGUGUUAGAAGUUUUCUACCAUAUUUUGGUGUUAUUGAUUCUUCCUUUUGUUCUGUCAUUCAUUUCUUUUGAAGGGUAAUAGUCCAACAAUCCCAAGCGAUAUUUUAUGGAGAACAAGACUAACAUGGCCACUAUUAAAAUUAUUAAUCAAGAACUUGUUCCCUUGGAUUGAUUCGACAGAACAAAUUUCACUAGAUGGUAAGACAAGUUGAACUUUCUUCUUAUGGCAAUGAUUUUUUUUUUUUUUUACAUCCUUGAUCUGGACAUGAAACCACUACCAAAACCAACGGAUGAAGAUAUUGAGGCCAUAAUAAUCGAUAGGCAAAAACGUCAAGAAAAUGAAUUGAUUUGUCACGAUUAUAUACUCAAAGCUUUAUCCAACCGGUUGUAUAACCUCUAUAACAAUACAUCUUCACAAAAGAAAUUUGAGAUGUGUUAGAAAAUAGGUACAAAACCAAAGAAGAAUGUAUUCUUGAUAUUGAGGUAUUUCAAUUUUAUGUUUCUUGAAAACAUUCCUCUCUUCCCCAAGUUCAUGAAUUACAAGUACUCAAAAUCUUUUUAAGUGAAAGCAAUUAUCGCUAAACUUUCGAGGGCUUGAAAAGGAUAUUAAAAGAAUAUUUUUCAUAGUUCUGAAGAUAUUCUUUUAAAACAAGUUUAGAAACAUCUCUAAAUUGAGAAAGAAUUGAGGGCAAGGAAUAAUAAGAGUAAAAAAUCUUAUGAAGGCACAUCAAAAGUCAAUGUCAUUGAAAAGACCGAGCAUCCAAAAAAUCAAAGAAGAGGAAACAUUUUUAAAAACUUUAACAAGUUUAAGAAAAAUCCCAAGGAAUAUUGUUUUGUAUCUGGAAAACCCAGAAAUUUUUACGAAGGAAUGUUGACAUUGAAAAUAAAAGAAGAGGAAAAAGUUAACUCCAAUGAUGAAGAUAGUAUUACAUGUGCGAAAUUGAUUACGCCUAAAGUAUAACGCAGUGAUUGUAGUAUAGCUUUAGGGUGUCGUAUCCACAGGGAGUGGGAAAUUAUUCAAAGGAUCAAAAACUAGGGUUUUGUGAAGUGUAUGAAAAUAGUUUAUCAAUUAGAAUGAAAUUUAGAUAUCGAUGUGUGAAGUAAUGAAGCGUCGAAAUUCUCUUGAUCGGUUCGGAUCAAUCAAUGUCAAUUACACAUUCAUAUACUCACUUAAAGAAUCUUGUCAUCAAACUUUAUUUGGAAUUUAUAACAUUAAAGCUCAAUUUAAUUCUAUAGUAAUUCCAAAAUAUGGAUUUCCUAUAACAUAUACCCACUUUAGUCUAUUGAAAUUAGAUUCAAAAUCCACCUUAUACAUCAAGCAUAAAAUUGUAGAGGAUCACACCAAUAAGAUAGUUGAAAUUGAUAUUCAACAAAUAUUUUAAUUUCACAAUAGACAAAAUAUAAUUGAAUCUAUGCGAAAUAUAGUAAAUGUUAAACACAAUAAUGUUUGAAAUUAAAAUUCAAUACUUUCAAUUAUUCGACAGAAAGAACAUGAUUAAGUCCAUGAAAUCUAAUACAUAUUAAACCAAUCUCAAAAUAUAUUUAUAAGAACAAGAAAUCCAAACCUAGAAUUGUUUAGCAAUGGAAAUCAUAUUACAUGCAUGAGAGACAUUGAAAUAAUCGAUACCAAUCGAGCCUUCCAUGAAGUUUCUUCACCCAAGAUGAGAGAAAAAUGGUACCAGGUUCGUUUCCCUUCGUUCUGGAGUGUUAUGGGUUUAAAAAUCGAUUGAAAACGUGUUACCAUAGUUGAUGGCAUCAAUUUAGGAAUUUAGCAAAUUUGGUAUCAGAGGAUUAUUAUGUGACCAUGUGGUUAUAAGCCAUACGGUCACAUAGAAAAAAUGUGUGGCACCCAAAAGUUCCCUGAACCCUUCUAUGCGGACACAUAGCUUUUGAACUAUGUGACCUCAUGGUUGAAAAAUUUUCCUGCCACAUAGCUUUUAUUAUUUUGGCCAUAAUCUUUAUUCCCGAUGUCCAAUUGAGGUGAUUCAAGUUGUGUUGAAAAGCUAACAUGAAGGACUACAAUUUUACUUUAGAAAUUAUCUUUCAAUUCGAUCAUUUUCCAUGUCAAAAAUGGGUCUUAACAUCAGGCUAAAAAUCGGUGCAUAACUUUUUCAAUUGAGAAUUGAUUUGUGAGAUGUUAUGGUCAUAUUUCACUUCUUUUGACUUCAAAUUACACCCAAUUGACUCCUACCUUUCUAAAAAUCUUCAUUUCAUCGCCCGUCUCAUUAUGGAUUAUUUUCAACUUGGUCCCUGAACUUUCACUUUCUUUCACUUUGGCCCUUUUUACUCAUUUUUUCCAAAUUUCACAUUUUCCAUCAAAUUGUGACCUAGAUCAAAACAUAAGAGUAAUGAGUAUAUUUUGACAUUAAAUCAAAAGGGAAAAAUAUCAUAUUUUACACUCCUCGACUUGCUUAUUACUAGUCACUAGCAAUUCAAUGCUGAACAAGCAAACGAAUGAUUAGAUUGUAAUACAAAUGAAAUUAUUAUGUUUCAACUUAACUGCAAUUCAUGCUCUUUUCAAACUCAACUUCACAAGAACUUAACAAUGUCAUGAUCAUCAAGAUAUCAAAAACACUUACCAAAUGUGUGAGUGUAUGUCAAGUCAUAGCCAUAUUAUCGCCAACCCUAACACAUGUAACAUCAAGUAUGUCUCGAGCUGAAGGUUCAGCUCCACAACUCAUGGUUAUCAAAGUAUUUAGCACGGUUUUCUCUCUGUGGAGUUGAGAAAGGGAUACACUCAGAAUUUGGAGGCUUAAAUGUUUAUGAAUGAGCAAUAAGCGAACAUUGAUCUUAUGAUAGGCAUACUGUCAAAUGAAAAUCCAUCACUUUCUUACCACAAUCAUACUUGGGAUCAAAAUAAUCAAUGUAAAGGUUGUAAUGUGGUUUGGGUUAGAUUGUAUGAAAAUGAGGAUAUAAAGAUUCAAGGACUUCCAAGAAUAUAGCUAGGCAUCUCAUCAAGCAUCUCGAUAGAUUACAUCUUUCGAUCAAUACACUCUUCAAUAUUUCAACCCCAAAAUCAAUCAACUUUUUUUUGUCUUUUUUUUAUAGGGGUAUUUUGCUUGAGAACAUACUAACUUUUGUCAUUUUCUUGCUUCUAUUUUUCACAAAUAAGCAUUCAAUACGUACUACACGCUUGGAAGUAAAAAGUUGGGUAAAUAUGUGGAUAGACUAUACUCCAAUGUGGAGAAGUUUGUGUAACAUGGGUGUAUGAAGAAAAGGCUAUACAUGUGUGUAUGGCUCAAUAUAUCUACUAGGGGUUGUAAUUAUUGAAAAAGAAGGCUUGAAAGGCUUAUAUGUUAAUCCUAAAUUGACCUUCAUCAUUUUCCAAGUAACUUACCAUCUUACCACAAACCAUGUAUUCUCAAAAGAAUUUCUAAUUCACAAAAUCAAUGACUGCUCAUUGCUAUUUUAGUGCAAGGUGGCUCUCCAUCCUCACUAAAUCUCACAAGAAACUUCGGCAAGAAACUACUCUAGCUACAUAUGUUAAACCACUAUCUUACCACAAGACUUGUGUGCGCAAAAAGAUUCAGCAAAUGUCUCAACAUCCAAACUUUCAUAAACAACAUUAAUUCCUUGUGGCAUAUAUUGUCAUUUAAGAACAUGUAGCGAAUUAGGGACUUAAAAAAAUUUAGACCAAAAUUCCAUGUAAAUUAUGUAAUUCACAACAAAAUUUAAGUUAAACUCUCCCCCAACUAAACGUUGCAUUGUUCUUAAUGCAAAAACAUAUCUCUAAAAUAAAGGUAAGGAAAGAUGUCACUUGACUGCUAAAGUAUAAGAAGUUCAAAAGUUUUCAAUAGAAAGGGUGAUGCAGAAAAUGAAAAUAAAAGGAAUGCAAUGAAUAAUGCAUGGACUAAACCUAGAGAGAAUGCAUAAAUGAAAAAAAAAAAAAAGAGAAUGGAACGAACUCCCAUUGGAUUGCUUCCUAAGUAGCGUCUUUGUUUAUUGUCAUUGGCUCGACCCAUUAUUGCCUUCUUCAAUCUACAUCCAGCCAGAGCAUUGUCAACCUUCGGCGCAUUGCACUAAACUCAUUGAAAGUAGUCACUGGUGGUGUCCCAUAACCGUGAAAAUAAUCAAAAGUAGCACAAAUAUCAGUAUAGUCCCCAUUAUCAUACCCUUUGGUAAUUUCAGAAUUUAAAAGGAAAGAAUUUAAAGGAUCGAGGUCAAGAAGCGCAUGUGCUUCCUACUCAAUGAGUGUAUCAAUCAUGUACAUUUGAUGACACUCAUCAACUUCUUCAGGCUAUUUCAUGGCGUGAAUGAUGUUGAUGUCUAAGAUCACGUUCCCAAAAGAUAGCUUCAUCAAACCAUUCUUGCAAUUGUAACUGUAGCGAGAAAAGGUCUACCAAGAAUAAUUGAAAUCUUGGAGUUAACAUUCACAUCCAAAACCAAAAAAUCUACAGGAUAGCAAAAUUUCUUAGUCUGUACUAGCACAUCAUCAACUACCCCCUAGGUCUAAUAGUUGACCGAUCAGCCAAUUGUAGGACCACUGUAGUAUGUUUGAUCUCACCUAGACCUAAUGCCGAGUAUAUAGCAUAAGGCAUGAUGUUGAGAUUAGCCCCUAAGUCAAGGAAAGCUUGUGAAAUCUCAUGUUUCCCUAUUAUACAAGAAACAGUAGGACAACCAGGGUCUUUAUACUUUGGCAGGACUUUUUGUUCAAUUUUGACACUCACAUGUUCAGUCAAGAAGGCAGUUUUCUUGACAUGGUACUUUCUUUUUACAGUACACAAGUCCUUAAGGACUUUAGCAUAUGUGAGAACCUGGGAAAUCACGUACAAAAGAGGUAAAUUGACUUUUACUUGCUUGAGGUGCUCUAGGAUUUCACUAUGUUGACUAGUAAAAUUCGAGGUCGACUUAAGGGCUUGAGGAAAAGGCACUCUAGAUGGAUUUUUCACUACCUUCUCACUAGGGGUGCUCUCUUCUGAAUUACUAGGGACCUUUUCAUUUUCCUUAGGUUUGAGAAUUGGUUCUAUGACCUUACUAUUAUGGCAUUUACUUCUCUAAGAUUUCUUUCUCUUAACCUUGAAGUUUGUGCCAUGUGUUGUCCCCUAGGGUUCGGUUAAUCUUGCGUUGAGAAUUUUUCCCGCUCUCCUACAGCUAAGGCAUUAGUUAGUUUCAUCAUAUGAGAUUUUAUUGCCUUGUUUUCUUCAACAAUUUGGGUGAUUAUAGUCUCAAACUUUUGGUUAGUCUUACUCAGUGCCUCUAUAAAUGCAUGUAGAUUGUUUUCUAAAGAGUUCCUAGAGGACGUGGGCUGAUAUGGACGUGCAGUGUGAGCUUUAUUUGGCUAGCCUUCAAAUUUUCAGCUGAGAUUGGGGUGGUUCUACCACCCCAGAUUGUAUGUUUCAGAAAAGGAAAAAUAAGGCUUUUGGUAUGUGCUUAAGACAUUACAGUGUUCCUCAUAAACUCCCCUCAUCUUAGCAUAGGUAGCGCACUCUUGAGCUGGAUGAUCAAUUUUACCACAAACAAAACAUGGUCCUAAAGAUUUAACAUUGGAUGCAUUUUGUGUAGGCUUUGAGUCCCUAGCACGUAAGAUUUUGAGUUCUUUCAUGAGGGCAUCUACCUUGACUCUAAGGUCAUCCUCCUCCCUAAGAUGAUAAAUGUCUGUGCUAGUGGUGUUUCUGAUGGGUCGUGUCCUAUUAGUACUCUCAGUGAUACUAGGUCCAGUCCAGGUAUGGACUUUCUCGGCUAAGUCAUCUAAGUACUCUAUGGCUUCAUCCGAGUCUUUUUGUAAGAAGUCUCCAUUACACAUCAUUUCAACAAAUUGACACUCCCUAGGUGUUAGGCCCUCAUAAAAGUAACUCACCAUAUGCCAACUCUCAUAUCCAUGGUGGGGGCAAAGGGUUUGUAACUCUUGGUAUCUCUCCCAAACUUGGUAUAAGGUUUUACUAUCCUUUUAGGAAAAUGAGAAAAUUUGCUUCUUAAGGGCAGUGGUCUUAUGAUGGGUGUAAUAUUUGUCAAAGAAAGCUUGGGUCAUUUCAGCCCAAGUUCCAAUCGAACAUGGUUUCAAUGAAUACAACCAGUUUUUUGCUCGUUCUUUGAGUGAAAAUGGGAAAAUUUUAAGCCUAAUUGUAUCCAUUGUACCACGUUGAUUGUGGAAGGUUACAACCACUUCCUCAAAUUCCCGAAGAUGUUGAAUCGUUCACGAUUUUAGGUCAAUACAUGGCAUAUUAGGUGGGAACAUAAUGCAAGAUGGCAUGGAAGUUUGUGUUGGGUGAAGGUAAUCAUGUAGGGUCUUAUAGGGCGCAUCGUCGUACUUACUAUCAUUCAUUGUGUUGUGUAAUGUAAUGGUUGUGUCUACAGAUGCAGAAUCGAAAAGAGUGUUAGAAAGUAAUUCAACCUCUAGUUGAGGUCUUGCAAUGAAUCACCCUCGCUCGUCUCGAUACCUGUUCAUAAAGCACAAAAAUGCAAAAAUGUGAGAAAAACAAAAUACAACUAAAAAUUAAACAAUAAACUAAAAGAAUGUAAAAAAAAAAAGGAAAAAUGUUACCCUUUUGCUUGAAAAUCCUUCAGGUUUUUGUACCAUCUCCCCGACAACGGGGCCAAAUUUGGUUGCACCCGAAGUAUAACGCGAUGAUUGUAGUAUAGUUUUGGAGUGUCGUAUCCACAAGGGGAUGAGAAAUUAUUCAAAGGAUCAAAAGGUAGGGUUUUGUGAAGUGUAUGAAAAUAGUUUAUCAAUUAGAAUGAAAUUUAAAUAUCGAUGUGUGAAAUAAUGAAGCGUCAGAAUUCCCUCGAUUAGUUCGUAUUAAUCAACGUCAAUUACACAUUCAUAUACUCAAUUAAAGAUUCUUGUCACCAAACUUUAAUUGGAAAAAUAUAACAUUAAAGCUCAAUUUAAUUCUACAGUAAUCUAAAAUAUGGAUUUCCUAUAACAUAUACUCACUUUAAUCUAUUGAAAUUAGAUUCUAAAUCCACCUCAUACAUCAAGCAUAAAAUCGUAGAGAAUCACACCAAUAAGAUAGUUGAAAAUGAAAUUCAACAAAUAGUUUAAUUUCACGAUAGACAAAACACGAUUGAAUCCAUACAAAAUAUAGUAAAUGUUAAACCAAUCUCACAACAAUGUUUGAAAUUAAAAUUCAAUACAUACUUCAAUUAUUCGAUGGAAAGAACAUGAUGAAGUCAAUGAAAAUCUAAUACCUAUUAAACCAAUCUCAAAACAUAUUUAUAAGAACAAGAAAUCCAAACCUAGAAUUGUUUAGCAAUGGAAAUCAUAUUACAUGCAUGAGAAACGUUGAAAUAACUGAUACCAAUCAAGUUCUUCCUUUUUUCACCAAAGAUUCUAGCCUUGCAUGAAGUUUCUUCACCCAAGAUGAGAGAAAAAUGACGCCAGGUUUGUUUCCCUUCAUUCGGGAGUGUUCUAGGUUUAAGAGUCGAUUGAAAACGUGUUACCAUAGUUGAUGGCUUCAAUUUAGGAAUUUAACAAAUUUGGUAUCGGAGAAUUACUAUGGACCACAUGGUUAUGAGCCAUGUGGUCACGUAGAACAAAUGUGUGGCACCCAAAAGUUCCCUAGGCCCUUCUAUGCGGUCGCAUAGCUUCUGAACUAUGCAACCUCAUAGAAUCAUCUUCCAAUUCGAUCAUUUUCCCUACCAAAAAUGGGUCUUAACAUGAGGCUGAAAAUCGGUGCAUAACUUUUUCAAUUGAGAAUUGAUUUGUGUAGAUGUUAUGGUCAUAUUUAACUUCUUUUACACCCAAUUGACUCCUAGCUUUCUUUAAUCAUCAUUCCAUCGCUUGUUUCGCUAUGUAUUAUUUGCAACUUGGUCCCUAAACUUUCACUUUCUUCCACUUUGACCCUUUUUACUCAUUUCUUCUAAAUUUUACUUUUUCCAUCAAAUUGCAACCUAGAUCAAAACUUAAGAGUAAUGAGUGUCUUUUGAUGUUAAAUAAUCAUAUGAAUGCAACAAUUAAGAGUGGAAAAAUAUCAUAUUUUACACUCUCAUCAGAAAUCAAUGCUACCAAGGGCAAAGUCCUCGCUUGGUGAUAUGAUAUAUGUACAACUAUUUAUGUAUCAUAUGAUAAGUCACUCUUCAAGGUUUAUUAUUAAUCAAAUGGAGAGAAAGAGAUACAAAUGGAUAAUGAAGGCCUCUCCAAAGUAGUUGGAAAAGGAAAUGUGGGCAUCAUCUUCACUUUCAAAAAACUAUUACCUUAACAAAUGUACUAUAUAUCAUUGAAAUGAAUAGGAACUUAGUAGCUUGAGAUUUCUUGAGAAAACUAGGCAUAAAAUGUGUUUAUGAAUCCAAAAAACUUGUAUUAUCCCAAAAUGAAAAUUUUGUUGGAAAAGGCUAUUUAAGUGGAGAAAUGGUCAAAUUGUGUAAUGUUGACAAUAUUAAUAAUAAUGAAGCUAAUUUUGCUUACUUGAUUGGUUCAUUUACUUUAUGGCAUGCUAGAUUAUGUCACAUAGGCGCUAGUACAAUGAAAGGAAUUCUUAAAUAUGAUAUGAUUUCAUACAAUGUGAUUGAUACUUAUAAAUGUAGAAUAUGUAUGGAUUCUAAAAUGGUUAAGAAAACCUUACUAAAAUGUAAAUAGAGCUUCUCAAAUUUUAGAGCUUACUCAUUCGGAUAUAUGGGAACUAAAUGGCAUGUUAACUAGGGAUAAAAAUAGAGAUUUCAUCACUUUUAUAUAUUAUCACUCUUGGUAUACUUAGGUUUAUUUAAUAAAAUAUAAACAUAAAGCAUUUGACAUGUUUAAAACUUAUAAAAUGAAGUCGAAUAUCACUUAACUAAGAGAAGAAAAAUACUUAGAAGUGAUAGUUAAGGAGAAUACUUCUCUAGUGUCUUUAAUCUAUCUUGUCAACAAUAAGGUAUAGUACAUCAAUAUUCUACACCUAAAACACCUAAACAAAAUGGUUUGACUGAAAAAAAAGAACAUUAGUUAAAAUGAUAAAUGCCAUAUUAACUUGUGCUAAGUUGCCAUUUAAGUUGUGGGGUGAAAUUUUGUUGAUUGCAUGUAGAAUAUUAAACAGGACUCCUUCAAAAUUCACAAAGAUUUUGCUUGAUGAAUUGUGGAAAGAAAGAAAACCAAACAUUGGAUACUUCUAAGUGUAGGGAUGUCUUGCAAAUUAUAAGAACACAAACCCAAAAAGGACUAAUUAGGGUCCAAGAGGCAUCAAAUUGCCAUUGUUGGAUAAGCUAGUAAUAGCAAAUCAUAUAGAUUAUUGAUGCGAACCCUGUAGCAAUGGAAACUACGAAACCCACAACGAGAUUGAUGCGGAACCCAAGAACGCCAAUACUAACCCGAUUUUGGAUCUCGAACCCCAAGAAUUGAACCAAGAAACCCUAGAUUAGCGAAGAACCUAAAACUCCUUGAUUACAAUUAAAAGAACCCACAAUCCGAUUGAUAGAACGCCACAAGAAGUUGAAUCUUGAUAAGUUCCAAGAUUGUUCAAGAAGAACAAUAAAUUGAAAGAAGAAAUUUCUCUCUCUAUAAUAUUAAUUCAGAAGUCAAAAGUUCAAAGGUUGUUACAAUGAAAAGUAAUCUCCUAUUUAUACUAAUGAAUAAAAACGUCCAAAACCAUCAAAUUAUGGUAAUAAUUUGAUUUCAUAAGAAUUCUAUCGAAACUAGGAAAUUCGACCAAAAAUAGAAAAUUCGCCAAUUUUUUUGGCUUGUGCGGCCGCAUGGUGUAAAUCCAUGCGGUCGCAUGGUUCAACAGAAAUUGCACUUUUGGUUUCCGGUAUGCAUGUGUGUGGCCGCAUGGAGUUUUGCCUGUACAGCCUCAUGGUGUCAUUUUCUGCCUCCGCUUUCAUUGCUUGAUAACAAAUUGAUCCAAGUCGAUUCGGCCUUCGACCCGAACAUGAAAGUUGCUCCAUUUUAAGUCCCGAACAUGGUUCCAUCAAUGGUUUCUUGAACGAGCAAUCCCAUCGCUUGUUUCACUUGCUUUGCCCUUGAUCGCGUCAUUGGUUCGCCAUCGACUAUCAACGGGUCUCAUCUCGCACUUGCCUUCGUCAGGCUCGACUCCUGGAUCAUAUCAUCCCCUCCUUCUUCAAAAAGAUUAGCCCUCGAAUCUAAACCAACAUCAAAUAGAGAGAGAUCAGAUACAUUAAAAGUAGCUGAAACAUUAUACUCACCAGGUAAAUCCACUUUUUAUGCAUUGUCAUUGAUCCUCUCGAUGAUUUGAAACGGUCCAUCGUCUCGGGGUUGCAAUUUUGACUUCCUCUGUUCUAGAAAAUUCUCUUUUCUGAAAUGCACCCAGACCCAAUCUCCAAGUUCAAAUGUAACGCGUCUUCUUCCUUUAUUUGCUUUUGAUGCAAUCAGCUUUCCUUUCUCUUCGAUCUGCAUCCUGACCUUUUCAUGGAGUGUUUUACCAUCUCGGCUUUUCGUUUUCCAUCCAAGCUACCUCGUUUUUGCACAGGCAAAGGAAUUAAAUCCAUAGGUGUUAGUGGAUUAAAAUCAUAAACAAUUUCAAAAGGAGAAAAUGAAGUAGUAGAAUGUGUAGCUCGAUUAUAUACAAACUCUAUAAGCGGUAAACACUCUUCCCAUGAUUUCAGAUUUUUAUUGAUUACUGUCCUAAGUAGUUGAGUCAUAGUUCGAUUAACUACCUUAGUUUGUCUAUCUGUUUGUGGGUGACAAGUUGUAGAAAAUAAUAACUUAGUUCCUAACUUACUCCACAGAACACGCCAAAAAGGACUCAAAAACUUCACGUCCCUAUCAGACACUAUACUUUUACGUACUCCAUGUAAACGUACUAUUUCCCUAAAGAAUAAGUCUGCAAUAUUAGUAGCAUCGUCAGUUUUAUGACAUGGUAUGAAGUGUGCCAUCUUACUAAACCUAUCGACCACUACAAAUAUUGAAUCCUGACCCCUUUUUGUUCUAGGCAAACCUAACACAAAGUCCAUAGAUAUGUCUACCCAAGGUUCACUAGGUACAGGCAAAGGAAUAUACAAACCAUGGGGUUGAACCUUAGACUUAGCCUUUUUACAAGUUAUGCACUUCCCACAUAUUUGUUAUAUGUCAUGUUGCAUUUUAGGCCAAUAAAAAUGUUUCCCUAACAUGUCUAAAGUCUUUUGAACCCCGAAGUAUCCCAUUAAACAACCCCCAUGUGCUUCCCUUACCAAUAAUUCACGCAAAGAACAAUUAGGAAUGCACAACUUAUCUUCCCUAAACAAAUAUCCUUCAUGCCUAUAGAAUUUAUCAAAUGCACCUUUGUCACAUGAAGCAUAAAUACUAGAAAAAUCACAAUCAGAUUCAUACACGCCCUUAAUAUGCUCGAAACCAAGUAAUUUAGUACUUAAUGAAUUUAAAAGCACGUACCUUCGAGAAAACGCAUCAGCAACUAUAUUUUCGUUAUCUUGUUUGUACUUGAUGACGUAGGGAAAUGUCUCGAUAAACUUCACCCAUCUCGCACGUCUUUUGUUCAACUUACCUUGACCUUGCAAAUGCUUUAAAGAUUCAUGAUCGGCGUGUAUCACGAAUUCCUUUGGCCAUAAGUAGUGCUGCCAAGUCUCCAAUGCUCGAACAAGUGAAUACAACUCCUUGUCAUAUGUCGGGUAAUUCAAUGCUGCCCNNNNNNNNNNNNNNNNNNNNNNNNNNNNNNNNNNNGUAAUUCAAUACUGCCCCACUCAACUUUUCGCUAAAGUAAGCAAUAGGUCUCCUUUCCUGCAUUAACACUGCUCCUCUAUCUAUUCCUGAUGUAUCGCACUCAACCUCGAAUGUUUUAUCAAAAUUUGGUAAUGCCAAAACAGGUGCUUUACAUAGCUUAUCCUUAAUUGUGUUAAAUACAAUUUCUUGAGAUUCUCCCCAAUGGAAACCUACACUCUUCUUUACUAUUUCAGUCAACGGUGUGGUGAUGAUGCUAAAAUCUUUUACAAAUCGUCUAUAAAAACUAGCCAAUCCAUGAAAACUCCUAACUUCAGUUAUAGUCUUAGGUGUUGGCCAUUCCUUUAUAGCUUUUAUUUUUUCUUCAUCGACUUCCACCCCAUUAGCACUAACCACAAAUCCUAGGAAAACAACUCUAUCCAUGUAAAAUGUACACUUUUUGAAAUUAGCAUAUAGUUGUUCCUUUCGCAACACAACAAGCACACAAUUUAAAUGUUCUAAAUGCUCAUCUAGGUUUUUGCUAUAGAUUAAGAUGUCAUCAAAAUAAACUACAACAAAUUUCCCAAUAAAAGCACGUAAAACAUGGUUUAUUAAACGCAUAAAAGUGCUCGGUGCAUUAGUAAGUCCAAACGGCAUAACUAACCAUUAAUACAAUCCAUACUUAGUCUUAAACGCCAUUUUCCAUUCAUCACCCUCCCGCAUGCGAAUUUGAUGAUACCCACUCUUAAGACAAUCUUACUAAAAAUGCAAGCACCAUGCAACUCAUCAAGCAUAUCAUCUAGCCUAGAUAUUGGGUGAUGAUACCUUACCGUGAUAUUGUUGAUAGCUCGGCAAUCCACGCAUAUUCUCCAAGUCCCGUCCUUCUUAGGCACCAACAAAACAGGUACAGCACAUGGACUCAUGCUCUCCCUGACAUAACCUUUGCUCAUCAACUCCUCCACUUUCUUUUGAAGCUCCUUCGUCUCCUUGGGAUUGCUUCGGUAAGCUAGUCGAUUCGGUAUGACAGUUUCGGGUACAAAGUCAAUCUGGUGCUCGAUGCCUCUGAUUGGUGGCAAUCCACUUGGCAUCUCCUCAGGCAACACAUCGUCGAACUCCUGCAAUAAAGACUUAACCAAAUUAGGGAGGGAUGUGUUAGAAUCCUCGAAAUUGAGGAGGGACUCCUUGUACACUAACAAUAUCAUUUGUCUAUUAUCGCUCAUAGCCUUUUUCAAAUCACUCUCUUUUGCAUAGAAGUUGACCUUUGGCUUUUCUCUCCGCUCAGCUGACUCUUUUUCUCUCCUCUCAACUGACUCUUUUUCUCUCCGCUCAUGUGGCUUCGCUCUCUUUUCUCCACUCUCAGCCACCUCACUAUUUUAUCUCUUAUUGAUGAUUUCACUAUUGCCUCUCCUUUUUCCCGACUCUCUUAUUCUCUCGUCUUCCUCACUUUUCAGCUUGAUUUGAUCUCCAUACACUUGUGCCGGUAUUAAUGGCGCAAGAGUGAUAGUCUUCCCAUCCUUGACAAAGCUAUAACGAUUUCUAUAACCAUCAUGUGUGACCCUUCUAUCAUAUUGCCAUGGUCUUCCUAACAAGAUAUGACCCACAUGCAUAGGUACCACAUCACAUACUACUUUGUCACUAUAACUCCCAAUUGAGAAAUUAAUUAAAACUCUUUUUUCACCCUAACUUCCCCACUUUCAUUCAAACAUUGCAACUUAUAAGGCCUAAGGUGUCUUAACAAUACUAGUCCUAAUUUCUUAACUAAAGUUGUACUAGCUACAUUCGUGCAACUCCCACCAUCAAUAAUGAUACUACAUACCUUAUCGUUGACAUAACAACGUGUGUGGAAUAUAUUUUCUCACUGCUGCUCCGAGUCAUCCACUUUAACUUGAGUGUUAAGAGCUCUCCUUGACACCAAUGAUUCCCCAACAGCAAACUCCAAUUUUUCUUCUUCUUCAACGUCCUCCAAUGAAGGCAUGUCCUCAAACUCUCCUUCACUUUCACUCACCACCUCUCCAUUAUCCAACAAAACCAUUACCCAUUUAUUUGGGCAUUGAGAAGCAAUGUGCCCUGACCCCAAGCAUCUGAAACACUUGAUGUCUCGAUUCCUUGAUGGUUGUGAAUCUGUUUUGGGUGCUGUUUUGCUAGCACUUUCUUCUUUCCCUUUCUGCCACUCAUUCCUACCUUUAGGUACAACUUUAUCACACUUGUUGUUGUUGUUCCACCUUGGCUUCCAAGAUGGAUUAACACUCGAAGUUCCUAACGGCUGCCUAGCUGUCCCUUUCCUCUUCAGCUCUCUCUCUACCUUCAUAGCCACAUGCAACAUGUCUUCCAACUCCACAUAAUAUUGCAACUCCACUACAUUGGCAAUUUCCCUAUUCAACCCAUUCAAGAAUCGUGUCAUGGUAGCCUCCCGAUCCUCCACCACAUUGGCCCUAAUCAUGAGUAUUUCCAUCUCCUUAUGAUAGUCAUCUACACUCUUCGACCCUUGAUAUAGAUCUUGCAAUUUUUGAUGGAUCUCUCGAUAAUAGUGGCUAGGAACAAACCUCUUUCUCAUCAAUGACUUCAAUUCCUCCCAAGUGCUAAUUGGUCUUCCCCCACUCCUACGUUGUGAAGUAAUCACUUGAUCCCACCAUGAAAUUGCAUAGUCACUNNAGUUUUUGAUGGAUCUCUCGAUAAUAGUGGCUAGGAACAAACCUCUUUCUUAUCAAUGACUUCAAUUCCUCCCAAGUACUGAUUGGUCUUUCCCCACUCCUACGUUGUGAAGUAAUCACUUGAUCCCACCAUGAAAUUGCAGUCACUGAACUCCAAAACUACUAAUUUCACCUUUUUCUCCUCCGAAUAGUUAUAACACUCGAAGAUCAUUUCAACCUUCCUUUCCCAUUCCAGGUAUGCCUCGGAAUCACUCCUUCCUUUGAACGAAGAAAAUGUCAUUUUUAUAUUUCCCAAGUUUCCAUCCAACUCCUCCCCGCGAUCAUUCUGACCCCGUCUGUCGAACCUAUCGCCUCUAUUCCUCAUCCUUCCCAUCUCAACACCGUGAAAUUCAUCUUCGCCCAUGUCACUCCCAUAUCCAUACUCCUCUCGCCUUUUCCUCCUAGGCUCCCAUCUAUCCGAUACAUCCACUCGAUGCCCCUACUAAGAUUAGCCACUGAUGUAUCUAAUCUAUUAAUCCAAGCCUCCUGCUUCUCCAACUUAUCUCUCACAUCUCCAAACGCCCUCUCAAACCUUUGCACUAAAUCCUCCGUUGCAUUGCUGUUAUUGCCUUGUCGGCUUGAGUUUGAUUCUGCCCUUUCUGACAUCCUAACAGUAAAAUUUUAUUUUACUGCCUCACCAAAAGUCACUCGGAACACACACAAGGGCUUUUACACUCUAUUAAGCUCACCUCUCUGCCUUUUACCACUCAGUUCUUUCAACAAUUGCUUCUAGGAACAACCAAUGAACUCAAUCAACCAAUCAAUUCGUGUAGAAUUUCCCAAAUCGGAUGUAACUCAAUAAUUGUAACAAAGGACUCAAAGAAAACUUUUAAAACUUGAUUUGAAUUGAAGGAAUGGAAUGAUUCAAUGUGUCCAAGUAAUUUAGAAACGAUAAUGAACAAUAAAAGUUAGUAUUUGACGGAUCAAUAAUAUUUAACAAGUCUUUUUUUUACUGUACGGAUGAACAGUAAUUUUUUUAGAUCCGAAAAUCAAUAACAAAACCAACAAAGAAAACAAAAACUGAUUUGGGUGAAAAUUGAGCCCAGAAAUGGAAUUUGAAGAUUUUUGAUGAAACGUUUGGAUCAAAAAAUCAAGAAAACCUUCUGGACACAAGAACACAAGGAAUUGAAAAAAUUUAGAAAACAAAGGAUAUAACUUGAUUAAAUUGGAGCCAAAGCUCUGAUACCAACUGAUGCGAACCCCGUAGCAAUGGAAACUACGAAACCCACAAUGAGAUUGAUGCGGAACCCAAGAACGCUAAUAUUAACCCGAUUUUGGAUCUUGAACCCCAAGAAACCCUAGAUUAGUGAAGAACCGAAAACCCCUUGAUUACAAUUAAAAGAACCUACAAUUCGAUUGAUAGAACGCCACAAGAAGUUGAAUCUUGAUAAGUUCCAAGAUUGUUCAAGAAGAACAAUAAAUUGAAAGAAGAAAUAUCUCUCUCUAUAAUAUUAAUUUAGAAGUCAAAAGUUCAAAGGUUGUUACAAUGAAAAGUAAUCUCCUAUUUAUACUAAUGAAUAAAAACGUCCAAAACCAUCAAAUUAUGGUAAUAAUUUGAUUUCAUAAGAAUUCUAUCGAAACUAGGAAAUUUGGCCAAAAAUAGAAAAUUCGCCAAUUUUUUUGGCUUGUGCGGCCGCAUGGUGUAAAUCCAUGCGGUCACAUGGUUCAACAGAAAUUGCACUUUUAGUUUUCGGUAUGCAUGUGUGCGGUCGCAUGGAGUUUUGCCUGUGCAGCCGCAUGGUGUUGUUUUCUGCCUCCGCUUUCGUCGCUUGAUAACAAAUUGAUCCAAGUCGAUUCGGCUUUCGACCCGAACAUGAAAGUUGCUCUAUUUUGAGUCCCGAACAUGGUUCCAUCAAUGGUUUCUUGAACGAGCAAUCCCAUCGCUUGUUUCACUUGCUUUGCGCUUGAUCGCGUUAUUGGUUUGCCUUCGACUAUCAACGGGUCUCGUCUCACACUUGCCUUCGUCGGGCUCAACUCCUAGAUCAUAUCAAUUAUUGAAUUUAUAGACCAAUGUGAUAAUUGAAUCAAAUGAUGUGGAGUUCUUUGAAAAUUCACUAUCUUUGGAUAAUGAAUUAAGGAAAACUCAUAAAGAAUAUUUUCUAAAGAUGUUAAUUGAUCUAUUGAACCUCGAAAAGCAAAAGAACUCAGAUAGAAAAGACUUUAGGACCGAAUGAAAUUAAUUCUUAACUUAUUUCACUUCACUUAGUAGAGAAAAAAGAGAAAAAUGCUGUAAGAUUAAUACAUUUUGUUCUACAAGUGAAAAUCAGUCCUAAAACCUAUAGAGAAGCUACUGCUUCUCGUGAUAGUAUCUUUUGGAUUAUGUAAUUAAAGAUGAAAUGAAUUCAAUUAGAUCAAACAACACGUGGGAACUUGUCGAUUUAUCACCAAAGUCUAAACCUAUUGAUGAUAAAUGGGUGUUCAGGAGAAAGUAUAAUAUAGAUGGUUCUCUUAAUUCUUUUAAAGUUAGAUUAGUAGCUAAAAGUUAUUGACAAAAAGAAGGAAUAAAUUAUUUCAAUACAUAUGCACAUCAAUUAGGAUAUUAUUCACAUUAGCAUCCAUAUAUUACUUGCAUGGUCAUCAAAUAGAAGUCAAAAUAAUAUUCUUAAAUGGGGAUCUCAAUGAGGAGGUUUAUAUGGAACAACUUGAAGGGUUUGUUUUACUCGAAAAUGAACAUAAGGUGUGCAAGUUCUUAAAAUCAGUCAUAUAGUUUAAAACAAGCAUCCAAGAAAUGGCAUGAGAAAUUUGAUUUAGAGGUUAUUUCUAUUGGCUUCAAACAUAAUAGUGUAGCUAAAUGCUUGUAUUCCAAAUUGUAUAAUAAUUAUGUGAUAUUUAUUUUCUUAUACAUUGAUGACAUGUUGAUUCUGAGUAAUCAUGUGAUGGAAUAAAAGAAAUGAAGAGGUUUUUAUCUUCCAUGUUCAAGAUGAAAGAUCUUGGACAAAGUGGAUACUAAUUCGGGUAUUACAGUUCUAAAACUAGUGGGGCAUUUUUGAGUCAAUUACAUUAUAUCGAUAAUGUGACUAAUAAGUUUAAUCAUUUGAAUAUAAAAGAGUAUAUUACUUCUCUUGAUCCAAAUUCUAAACUUAUAAAGAAUUAUGGAAGAGCUGUUGGUUAAUUGGAAUAUGCAAGUGUUAUUGGAAAUCUUAUGUAUGCAGUUUAAGGCACACGAUCGGACAUACCAUUUGCAAUUAGUAAACUUAGUAGGUUUGCUAGUAACCAAGCAAGGAACAUGGAAAUGCCAUUGGAAGAGUUUUUGGUUACUUAAAAAAAAAAUCAAAAACUUAGAUCUACAAUAUUGGCUGUAAUGGAGUGAUUUAUUGAUGCUAGUUGGAUAUUUAACACUGAUAAGAGUAAAUCUACUUUGGAUUUAGUUUUUACUCUUGAAGGAGUUGCAAUUUCUUGAAAAUUAAAGAAACAAACAUUCAUAAUACAUUCAACCAUAGAAUUUGAAUUCGUGGCAAUAGCCGAUUUCAAGAAAGAAGUUGAGUUAUUUAAGGAUUUACUAUAUGAGAUACUUUUGGGAUGAAAAAAUAUAUCUUCGAUAUCCAUCAUGAAUGAUAGUCAAGCUAAAUUUGCUAAAGCAAACAAUGAGGUAUACAACUAAAAGUGUAGACAUAUGAGUCUAAGUUAUGACUAUGUAAGGCAAUUAAUCAAGAGUGGAAUAAAUUCUUUAAAUUACAUUAAGUCAAAUGAGCACCCAACGGAUCAUCUAAUUAAACCUCUUAAUAGAGAUUUAGUAAUAUCUACUUCGAGUAGAAUAGUGUUGAAAUUCCUAAACUAAAAAGAUCUACUAAUGACGAAAACCCUACUUAUCAUUAUUAAAGCAAUAAUCCACGAGUUCAAAGUAUAAAAAUAAGUAAUUUGAUUGUGGAUAGUUUCAGCAAUAUAAAUUCCACAAAAAAUCCUAUCCUAAUUAUAUAAUGCAAAUUGUUACUUCAAGGAAGGUUGAGUUUUACAACUCUUAAUGAAGUUCAGUACUAAGUACAAAUAUCUUUAAAAGUAACAAAUAUAUUGGAAGAACUUCACCUAGACGAACUUCGAGAUAGUGUCAUCUCAAUAGAAUAGAGAGUUGGAGUUUCUCUCUUAAAAGUUCAACAAAUAUAAUGCAAGCAAGGCCGCAUUAGUACUAAGCGAGUUUACAGAACUUUUGAACACAUGAAAUUUGUAUGUGUGCUUUUAUUGGAAUCAUGACAAGGAAUAACUGGUACCUUUUAUGCUACUUUUAAUUUCGAUGAUACUUUGUGAGAAUUACGUUUUGGUUAGAUUUAAAUCAAAAGAUAUCUAAUCCUUAUGCAUAAGUAUUGCUAUUUUGAGUACGUGGUCCAUAAAUUUCUGAAUAAGUGGGAAAUUUUUGUUUUUGUUUAAAAUCAAAUGGAAAGUAUGGAUAAAUUGAUGAAUCAAAAGAAGGAAAUAAAAUUUGGAGGCAAAGUAUUUUGCUGGUGCAUGGGCAUAGAACAAAAAUAAACCCAUUUGUUGGUUUGAUUCUAGGCAAUUUUUUAGGAAAAACUCAACAUUUCAUGAGAGAUUGACACGUGGAUGGUGAAUAGAAUACCACAAAUAAGUAAUAGAUUUCAAUUAUAAAAGUACAAAUCAACAAUGAAAAUCAUAUUGUAGUGUUUUUAAAUUCAAUUCACCUAUAUAUUCAAACAUUCAAAAGUGAUCUUCAAGUUUUGGAAGAUAAAUACAAGUGCUUAGUUAUUUUCUUCGUCAAGGCUUUAUCGAUCAUACAAACCAUUUGUCAAGGGUCACUUAGAAGGGACAAAUAUCAUAUGAGGACAAUGAUCUCAUGCUUGAGCCUUUCUACUGUACUUUAGUGUUAUUGAUUCUUCCUUUUGUUCUCUUUUCCAUUCCUCUUGAAGGAUAAUAUUCCAACAGCUAAAAUACAAAAUACAGUUUUGCCAUUUGGGAUCUCAUUCAUUGGCUAGCUCUGUUUGUGUUCAAGUAUAUUUAGAGCAACAUCUGCAAAGAGUAAACACUUAGCUUCUUCCAUGGUUGUUUUAUCCUAUAUUAAUUAUUUUUCCUUAUUUAUAUAAUAUCAUACUACAAUUCAUAUUAAUAGUUGCCAAAAAUAGUGCAACAUAGACCUCUUUGAUAAGAUUUUGGGAUCCCAUUUAAUGGCUAGCUCUAGCUUGUGUUCAAGUAUUUCUCAAUCAUGAAUUAUGUUGACCCCAAAAAAUUGUCGCCAACUGAUUCUCGACAUCGUUCCCUUGCAAUUGCACAUGGAACAACCUGUUAGGAGGCAAAGGCCGCUAUUCGAAAAAAGGUUCGGCAACUGCUUGCACUUUGACAGUCAAUGGCUAAACAAAAUAUAUAAAGAGAGUGCAAGAGUCGAGAGAGAGAGAUGUGGCUAGGGUUUAGAAAACUUCAUACCUUUGAUUAUAAUGGAUUCGUAUGUGUGUGUGUGUAUAUAUAUACACACAUACAAAUGAAAUGAAUUGGGGCUAGCCUUUGGAGAGCCUCAGUUUGGGGCUUUUACUUGGCUGCCACUUGCGCCUUCGUUAACUUUGAUCAAACUCUAAUGGGCCUCAUCUAGGUCCAAUAUGAAAUGAUAAUUUUAUAAAGAUAACAAUAGUCUACCAAGUUUGAGUCGUAUAUUCAUGUGUGGGUCGAACUUUCUUUGUAUUUGCAAUUUUACGAAAUUUUAGCAACUUCACAGCAUUUAUUUGCUUUUCUAAAGAUGUGAUAUCUGCUCAUUUUGUUUGCUUUGUUCUUCUUUUCUUUUUGAAAAUGGUCCUCUUCGAGAUCCAGCUCUUUGUUUGUCUUGCCUUUUUUGGGUUGAUUUUUUAUUGGAGGUGACCUGCUUCGGGUCUAGCUCACUUUUCAAAGUGCCUCUUUAAGACUCGUAUGUUCAUUAAAGUCCUUCUUUUGGGCUCAUUUUUGUAUUUUUAUUUUCAUCUAAAAGAAUUGCAUUUGAAAAUAUCAUUUUUGUAUUUUUUUUCAAGGGCAUAUACUUCGAGAUUUUGCCUCUUCCUUUAUUUAAGAAACAUGGAGCUGGCUCUUCCUUUAUUCAAGGAACAAGGACUUCGAAAUAAGUGCCUCUUCCUUAUUCAAGGAAUGAGGACUUCAAGGUACCACCUCUUCCUUUUCCAAGGAUCAGGGAGCCACUUCAUCCUUUAUUUAAGGAACAAAGACUCCAAAAAUACGUGCAUCUUCCUUUAUUCAAGGAACGAGGGCUCCAAGAUACGUUGCCUCUUCUUUUAUUUAAGGAAUGAGGACUUAUAAAUGUCGAAUCUAAUAAUAAGGGAUCCGCAAGCUAGGGUUCACCUUCAAUCAUGCGAGGUUUUACAAGCUAGCCUCAGUGAGCUUGGACUUAUAAGCUCGCCUUUGAUUAAUAAGAAAUUCACAACUAGAAUCAAAAUUUGAUAUUUAACCAAGCAAUAUUUUCUUGCGUUUACCUCAUAAAUAAUUUUGAGCAACUUCUUCACAACACUUGAUGAACCAGUAGCAAUAAUAUGACCAUUCAUUACGUGAUCCAACACCUAGCAAUCUUUAAUAUUGAGCAAAGCAUUUCAUCGAACAAUUCGCUUGCAUUCUUACCAACCUUAUUUCUCUUACAAAAAUCUUUAGGUUAAAGAGAUGUAAAUUUAAAUUUAUAUCAUCUUCUUUCCUUAUAUCACAGUGCCUACAAGUAGUCAUUACCCUUUGAAUACAUUGUAAUCUAGAAGAAGCAGCAAUUGGCCUUGGUCCAAAAUGAAUUAAAAGGAGCAAUUGUCAAUAAAUUGAAGUAGACAAGGAAAUUAUGAAGUCCAAAUUAGGAUUUAUAACACGAGUCGUCACUUCUCUCACCGAUGAAAAGAAUGUCCAAGCCAAAUAAGUAGAAGUAGAAAGAAUAGGCCACAUGAAGAUCACUGUAUAAAGUAUGCAAUUGUAAUAUCCCAAAAAAUGUCGCCUACUAAAGAUGGUAAAGGACUUGAUCACUUGAAACUAAAAGAAUAAUAUGAGGCCAACUAAAAUGGAAUCAAUGUGGGAAAACUUUCAAGCCAGUCCACUAAACUCCAAACUAAUGUACACAUUUAGCCCCCGUUUGACCCCCAUUUUGUGGUAAUGAAAAUAGGUGAAAUAGUUUUUUUUUUUGUUUUUUUUUUGAAAAAUGAGUGAUUGAAAAAGAAUGAAAUUUUUUGAUUUAUGUAUAAUAUUAUUUUAUGAAAGAUCGUAUGGUUGAAAAUAGGAGAGAGAAAAAUAAAAUGUAAUGGAAUGAAAAUUAAUGGGGGCCAAACGAGCCAUUAACAACCUUGGAUGAAAUUAACAUUGAGAUUCACAGUUAUUGUUUGUCUGAACAUGCCACCCUCACUAUCAUACUUCCAUCAGCAUUAAUGUGUGUUGACAGUGGAAAUAAGCUAGGCUAACUACCAAGUUUCUAUCAUAUAUGGUGCCGAUAGUUUCCUAAUCGAUGCUCACCAGAUGCCUCCACAUAUGGUACAAAAGUUGCCCCAACCUUCAGCCACCUGACUGGAAGGCCGCAUCAUGAAUCGAGCUUUAAAAUAAAAAAAAAUGCAAUUGACAAACUUUGUUGGACAGUUAGUGUGCUUCCUACUAUACGGUUGCUCUCGUGUUACCUCGAAGACCUUGAAAGGAGGCUACCGGUGGCUUUGUUGGUAACUCUUUGAAGCUACAACUUAGCUGAAGAAUUUUCAUCUACCAUGUUGUACAUUCAAGACUCUUGACAAAAUGGGUCCUCAUGUUGAAAUAAGGAAAAUCCUAUUGAAUUUUGGAAUUUUGGUGGUAGAAUUUGCUGAAUGAUUUGUACGGCAACAAGGUGGAUUUUUGAGAAUAUUUAGUUUUUGUAACUGUAUGUGGUGGGAAAGAGAUUUUAUUGUGAAGGUUCCAUUAUCCUUAAUCAUUCUUGGUCACCACAUUAUGCCACUUCACCCUAGCUUGAAUGUCUAUUUUACAGUAAUGGUUGCAGUGCUGAAGAUUCAAGAUGCAAGAAAAUAUUGUUUUAGCUUGCUAACAACUCUUUUCUCCGUAUGUUUAUCCUUAUGGUGGCUGAUUAUUCAAUAUGGAAACUAAUUCAAGUAUCACUUUUCUUCCAUUUUUUAUGAUUGACUUGGCUAUUUUUUUGAUAGAAGAAACUUUCCGAAUCAUCAUCUUGAUUACUGUCUUUGCUCCUUUUUAGUAGAACAAACUACCCAAAAAAAUUUCAAUUUCUAGUGACCUUUUUGUACAUGGUUAACAUACCGGUUUACCACAGAUGGCGCCUAUCUAUGAACUCCAAAAAAUGUCGUCAACAGAUCCCCAGCCUCAUUCCUUCCACUCUUGCACACAAAACACCCCAUUAGGAGGCAAAGGCCGCCGAUUGAGAAAAAGGUUCGGCGACCGUUUGCACUGCAACAUCAAGUCAAUCGUCAAACAAAAUAUAUAAAGAGAGUGCAAGAUUUGGGAGAGAAGGAUUUGGCUAAGGUUUAGAAAACUUCAUACCUUUGAUUGUAAUGGAUUCAUGCACACACACACACACAUAUAUAUAUGAACGGGCCAAGAAGGUUAUGCAAUGUGGCCUAAGUCCAAGCCCAUCAUGACGUAACUUUAUAGGCAUAACAAUGUGUACUCCCAGGCACUUCAGCUAGACCUCUUGUGGCCUCAGUGGGUAUCUUUGAAGGCACUUCGAUUGGCCAUUGGAGAGCCUCAGUUUAGGGCUUUUACUUAGCUGCCACUUGGGCCUUCGUUAACUUCGAUCAAACUCUAAUGGGCCUCAUCUAGAUCCAAUAAGAAGGCCCUAUACGAAAUGAUAAUCUUAUAGGUAUAACAAAUUCAUUCAAUUAACCCUGUCCCUAUUAGAAAUACACAAAGUUUUGAGUUGUUUUAUAAACAAAUUUGUGUUUAUCAAUUCUACGUAAAUAAGAAAAACACAAGUAAAUUAUUUUAGAGAAAAAUUCAAACAUGAAUGACAUUAGAAAUCCGACUCCACCAAAAAAUUCAUUUUAAUUCUCCAACUCAUGCCAAUUUUUACAAUUCAUGAUCCUAAUUUGUUUAAUGACAUCUCGAUGGUAAGGUUAAACCUAUUUUCAUUUAUGACUCUAAAAUAUAUUUAUCAAUGUGAUAUAUAAAAAUAAUUCAACUUUACGAUCAUUUCAUUAAGUUUGUGCAAAACAUAGGAGUAUAUUUCUCUACGUAUCACACUCUAUGUUAUAUACUAACAUGUGCUGGAACCUAAAUUGAACCUCUCAGAAGCAAAAUAAGUCAUACAUUUGAACAGUGUUCAACCCUUCGAAUGUAUUAAGAACUUAGCACAUAAUUAACAAACAUAUGAAUUGAAAUAAAAAGAAAUAAUUUUCAAAUAAAACAUCAAAUUAUGGUUUACAUCAUCGUCCUAGUGAAAGGUUUGUAUCCUAACAUAUUGAAUUGUAAAAACACAAUUUUGUUCAUAAUACUUCGCCCAAAGUUUAUAAAGAUGAGAAGAAAGUAAAGAGAUCAAUUUUCAUUCCUCAAAUUUCUUCAAUGAAUUUUUAGAUCAACUUCUUCAUCUCCUUACUCAAUAACCAAUAACUUGAAUUUUGUGUUGAAAUCUCAAGAGAAUUUGUGUUUUGAUCUCUAAUGUUGUAUGUUUUGAAGAUUAGGUUUUGGGGAAUUUACUUGUCUCUAAUCGCUUGGAAUUUAGUUAUACAUGCACAGUGAAAUUUUAAAAUAAUUUUUGAUUUCCAUCAAUGAUCAUCGUUAAGUUCAGAUAGAAAUUGUGAUUAGAAUGUUACCUUUGAUGAAUUCUCAAGCUUCAAUGUGACUUUGAACUUGAUCUACCACGAUCUCUGUACACCAUAGUUGUUCAAGCAUUCAACCUCUAGUGGUAAUCCACACGAAAAUAACAAGAAUGAUAGGAUUAGGAUUUUGUUUUCUUAUACUAGCAAGAAUAGAAAUAAAUUUAUUUUCUCUCUAACCCUAAUUAUUUAUUAGAUGUUUAAAUACACCUGAUCCAUCUAGUAAACAAAGUCUAUAUGUUGACCUAUUAAUAAAUCGUUCCAAUUAAUUACUUGCAAAAGUGUCCAUAUUCGUCAAUAUAAUUAAUUCUUAAUUUCACUCUUCUAAUUCUCGCCUUUUGUAUAACUGAUUUGAUCCAUGGAACGAAGAUAAGCUCGGGAAAAGAUCCAUCGAUUGUCGAAGAAGUUCCGAUGACUCGGUCACGAGCAAAGCGGGUCAAAGAAGUGAUGGAAUUACUUGUACAAGCUACAAUGAACAAAACAUUUAUCAUUGCAAGCGAAGGGAUGAAUUGCUUGUUGGGCUUGGAAAGCUGAAACACACUGGACCUACUUGAUUCAAGCCGUAAAUGAAAGACCUGGCUGACUACACUGUGCGAUCACAAAGUGAUAGGACCCAUGCAACUGCAUGAUGAUAUGCAGAAAGCAGACUGGGGAAAAUUGGGUCUUCUAUGCGAUCGUAUAUAGUUACACCAUGUGGUCACAUAGAGUAAAAUGGAUACACGCGAAUUUUCUAAAAACUAUUAAAACUCUAUUUUUUGAUAUCUUAGUAAUCUUUUUAGACUUUAUUUCCAGUUUUAACUAGGUUUUAUGGGUUCUCUAUACAUAAGACUCAUUAUUUCAUAUAAAAACAUUCAUUGUUCAUAUCAAAUGAGAGAUUAUUUGGUGAGCUAUUUUGCUUUCAAAAUCCUGGUUCUUCAUUAAACAAAUUACGAAUUUAUCAAAAUUUGAUUCUUAUGGGAAUCAAACAACCGAGGCAAAGUUCUUGAAUUAUAGUGAUCAAGGAGUCAACAAAUUGUUAGCGAUUAUUGGUUACUUAGUUCAAUAUUUUUUAAUCAAACUCAAAACUUUAGUUUCUUAGCUUUCUUGGGUUUGAAUCAACCUCGUGUAGGUUUCGUAACUUCAAUUGUUACAUGGUUUCACAUCAAUAACCCAUUAGGUUCCCGAUCACUAUACUAGACGAUGCGAAUCAUUAUUCUUAUAUAACAAAGUAGGAUAAAUUGAAAAUUCUCCUUUCAAUUUAGCGUUAACUUACAAAGACUAAUCAACUUAUAUUUGUCAUCCCUGAUUGACAUAUAAAAAUUUAUUGGGGCAAUACACGCAACAAAAAAAUGUCAUGUAGUAACUAUUAUCCUUUCAUCAUUAUAAUCUGAUAACCUAUGAGAUAUAGAGAUGUGUCAACCUCGAUUUAAUCUAUCAUAUCUUUCAUCUCACUCAUAAGUCAAAACUAUUUUUGACUUAUGAACUCACCUUAGCCCAAGAUUUUGAUAUCAACAUAAGCAGAUAAACGUAAUGAUAAUCUUUACUAUCAAAAAGUGAGAAAUCAUCUAUUGAUCAUUCAUAACCUUUAUAUGAUUCUUGUCAAAGCUGAAUGAUGUCUUGUUAGUGACUCUUGAAAGGGCAACAUCCAACAUCAUCGAAGUAUAAAGAACCUCAUAUAAGGUGCUAUGACAUCAUCAAGUCAUAGGAUGAAAUCCAUUACUGCAUGUUACAUAAUCACCAGCACUGAGAUAGUUGUCAACAUGAAAUCUCUAUAGUAGGUCUCCAAUAUUUUCUCCUCUGAAAAAAUAUCAUCACAUCCAUUUAAAUUUCCCUGCGUUUUAAUUUUUGAAAUCAAUGAUUCAAUUUACUAGUGAGAAAUAUCAUCUAUCGAACAGCUCCAACUUGACACAAUCUAAAUGAAAUCUCCUAUUGAAGACAAUGGUGGUGCCAUUGAAAACUUGGAAUAUUAUCUUAAGAUUGUUGGUGCUACAUUCGUAAUGGUCGGGACAAGAAAUAGAUGAAUUUGUAGAAAAUUUUGUUGAACUCUUAAGCCAAAGAAACAAGUUGAAGAAACUGUUACGAACCUUUGUAGAAGAUCAAACCAAACCCAUUUCAUGAAGAUGUUUCACAAAGACUUGAAAUAAUAGCUCCGUGGUGGAUUACAAGGCAGUGCUUUUUUCUUUAGGCAAUAAUUGCUCUUGAUGAUGUACACUGGUAAGAAAAGAUACCUCUAGAAUACAGUAGAAUCUGAAUAUGGUGUAUGCAUUUUGCCUAAUGAAGACAAGCCCAAACACUAAGGAGAGAAGAAGCUAAUAUAGAGGGUCAUGUACUGUAUUUUCAAAUUACAAAACAUGGACAAACUUUGAAAAAGAAGAGUUUAACUAUGCACAAAAAAUAUAGUUUUAAGGUGGAAGAUGAAGGAAAACUCUAUCAUAUAUUUCCAUGUGUCUCGUAUAUGAAAUUAAAAAUCUUAUUUAUAGGUUGUUAAACUACUCUUCCCAAGAGUUAUAAUCAUUCACAAGAGACAACUUUAGAAAAUUAUGGUGAAAAUACAUCAAAAAACUGGAGAAACGGGUGCCAAAGAACUUGUUCUAGGGAGAAUCAUAGACAUUGCCCACAAGCGUAGGGCGGGUUUCAGAUGUCAUUAGCAGCUGCCCAAUAGCUUGGGGCAGCCGUCCCCACUGGCAUGCAGAAUACCUACAUGCUGCCAUCCGAUUGGGCAGCCAUCAAGGCUCAGUGAUCCAACCUAGUCCUCCCCACUAUCAAACCUCCACCAAACUAUUUCCUUGACUCUUAGAAGCUCACAAACGCAUCUAACAAUGUCCAAAACCGAUGUUAUUUGAAAAUUCUGCCACAAGAUUUAACUUAUUUUGUAAAACGAGCCUCUAUAAUCAAAUGCCUAAAGCUAUUCCAACUAAUUUACAAAGAAAUUGCAGGAAAAAUCUCUGUCAUAUCAAUUUAUGGUAAUUUCUUCAAUCCUUUUAGAUGAAUUCUUCAAAAAAAUAAAAAUAAAAAAGGAAAAAAAAGAAUACAAUAACAUAAAAACCCCUUCACAAAACCCAAAAAAGUACAAAAAGCUGAAACAAUAAUCACAAAUGGUAAAAAAAUUUGCACUAGUCAAAAGUGCAAUUACAGGAAAUGUCCUUUGCUUUAUUCUGUUAUCUCAUAAUAGAGUAGUCAGGCCAUAAAUAGCCUAAUAAAGCCUUUCGUUCCUUUCCAUGGAAAAUAUUCCUGAUCCAUAAGUAGAAUGCAUAACAUCAGCCAACAAAGGAAACUGUAAGAACGCAAAUAGCGUAACUGGAACACAAGCAGUGAGAGCAAUCGGGAUAAUAAUCCAAGCCAGUUGAUGUCCAACCACAAUGAAAAAGCUUGCACUAAAAGCAAGUAGCAUUGAUGCUAUCGAAAAGAAAAGUGUUGUUAGGCCAAUAAUCAGCCUCUUCGGCAAAGACUCAAGGAAAUCUUCUUCAGCAUAACGCGAGGUGAGGAUAGAUAAGAACAUCAAUAUAGAUGUCACAGAGGAGAACAGAGCUAGUGCAUCUGACAUGGAGAAAAUUAUAAAUGACUUGUCCUUAAGGAACAUAGGGGUUCCUGUAUCAUUGUUGUUGCCUCCUGGUACUGUAAAAAUUGCGGCAAACAUUACUGUAGUAAUAAGUGUUGCAACAAGCAUGCAGGAUGAUGCUGUAUCCUUCAUCCAUUUCUCCCCACUCUCGACUAAUCCCUUGUGUUCCUGAGUAAAUAGCAUUUGGGGUGUUCUACCUUCUGAGUCUUUCAUUUCCUUGUAUAAUGGCAGCAUAUUCUUCUCAACUUCCUUUGAAUUUUAAUAAGAAGAAGAGUGAAAACACAUGGAAAGCAAUUUUAAUUAACUUAAACGAGAAAGAAUAAAGUUUGAAUACAAUUUGAAAGUCACCUUAAACCACAGCAACUCCCGUUGCAUUUGAAGUGCUGCACCAGAGACAAUAUUAAGUCUGUUUGAAGGAGCCAAGUUUGCAGCCAAGUGCAACAUGUUACAAUUGCUGGGGUUCUUAUAGGAUGUGAUCAAAUCUUUGUAUCCUCCUAUGUCAUAAAGAAGUUUGAAGAUUUUUUCUUGGCGAUGAAUAACUGCAAUGUCAAAAAUGCUUCGACUUUGCUCAUCAACUUUCCAAAUGAGAUCAGGACAGGAGAGAAGAAGCUCCCUAAUGAACUGAAAGUUUCCAAAUUCUGUAGCUAUGAACAAUGGUCGUGAAGGGCUCCUGAGUAACUUCCCAAUUUCUGAAUCAUCCAAUAAGAAGAGAACCUGUUUCCACAAGAAUUUUACCAACUCCAGGGCUUGGGCCUGAGGCAUGGGCCUCACUUGCCUCGCCCCAGAACCGACCCUGGAUUUUAAGAGAUAUUUCUUGUCAGAUUUAGCUCGAUGGCAAGGUAUUCAUACCAUUUGAAUCAAUCUAAUUUAUAAUGUUGAUGAUGCCUGAAGAGACUUGAUAAAGAAAAUUUGUCUUCAACAUGACGUUUCUUGCUCCUUUAUGAAAUUUAAUUUUUCAAAUACACUCCAUCCUUCAUAAGUAUCACUGUUAACACUCAACUUAACAAUGUAGCAUCACCAAUUUAAUGCAUAACAUCUUUCUCUUCCAUUUUUAUACAACUGCAACUUGAAUUUCACAUAGUUGCUACCUGUAAGAUACUUGAAGAAGUGAUCAUAUUAGUGUGUAUGAGGACUCUACAUAUACUUGUGAAGAGUUACUAGCAACUAGGGGCAGACGCAGGAUGAAAAUUUUAGUGGGGCAAAACCAAAAAAUCAUAGGAAAAAACCUCAAGAAAAAUCAAAAAUUUGAAAAUCAAGUGGGGGCGGCCGACCCCACUCGGCUUCAAAUGGAUCCGCCCCUGCUAGCAACCUGUUCACAAUAUUUAAUUUAGGUCGUUUGCCAGCAUGUUUUGAAAUGCUUGGUCAAUCAUACCUCACAUUUUAAAUUGCCCUCGAAACCAAAAUUCUAUUUUUCCAACUUUAGUGUUGGUCAUCGGAUGUGAAUUUAAUAUGCAUUAGUUCCCAUGUGACCUUCAUGUCUUUUUUCUUUCGCAAUGGCCACGUAUUUGAAAUUCUAUGGAAUAGAACAAUUAUGACUCCUUAUUCUGAUCAUGAACUGCAUUAUGUUUUCCCUUUAUCCUUGUAAGAUGUGGAUUAUGAGGCCUCCAUUGCCGCAAAACUUACUGUUACCAAGAAAAUAUAUUCUCAACAGAAGAAAGCGAUGCUAAGUUCAACUUCCUUCUAGAACCUUUUUCCCACAGAACCAGGUUAUUAUAUUUUGACGCAAAUAUUGAUAUAGUGAUUUCAAUAUUUAUAGUUUUCUUCCAUUGGAGUUUUUAAAUAAAACCACCGCUAUUUAUCUGUAAUGUUGGGGAGAAAACGCGCGGAUCGACUUUGACUGACAAAUAAUGGAAUUGAGAAAAUACAGCUAAAAAUGGACACAGGUAUUUAUGUGGUUCACCUAAUUUAGGUAGACGGGCAAGUAUAUGAGGAUUUCACUAUAGUAGGAGAAUUACAACACACUCUCUAAAUACAAGGAGAUAACAACAAUCAAUCUCUCUUGUAAUUAGGAGAAAACAAGUAGGAAAAAAACUUAGGAGAAAAACAAUAAAUUUUCUCUCUACUCUUCUCUCUACCUUACAAUUUCCUCUCUUGAUUUUUCCUCUCCAUAUGGCAUACUUUCUCUCAAACUCUUGCCCAUAUUUAUAGAGAUUUUUGACCUCCAUAAGCGCUUGGAAGAGUCAAAGUUCUACCACCUUCAUUUGUUGGAAUUCUCUACACAUUUGGCUUGUCAAGUAAACGGAGAAAGAAAACUUGAAUUUCUCAACCUCCCUUGUAUGCAUGCAUGGAGUCUUUCUUAACAAUUAAGAAAUCAACUCCUUAUCCAUUUGGUCAAAAAAAUGUGGCUAUCAUUAGUUGGAAACUCCAAUUUUGCCACCAUCACCACUUGCAUGCAUGUAUGUAUUUUUCUUAUUUGUUAAGUAAUGUUUUAUGGUCAAAAAAUUGUGACUAUAUUUUCAACAUGUAAGAAGGAGAAGAUUUUACUACAUGAUAAGCUUUAUUGCAGAUAGUUCUUAAAUGUACUUAUUUUGUAGUAUCUUUUAUUGUUGGUAGGAUUGGUUGAGGCCCUAUGCAGCCUUUUACAUUCUACGUGACUUCUUUAAAACCCUAAUCACAGCCAAUGGGUUCGAUUUCCUAUUUUCUCACAUAGUAUAUGCAUUUUUUUAAAAUUUCUUGGUAUUUUCUCGCUUUUUUUUUCCAGCUCAGCGGUUCUUAUAUUUCUCUAUCAAAUAAUCUUAUGGGAUUAUGAUCUCUAAUUCGAAAGGUCUACAUAUAUUUUUGACAUCAACAUGUUAGGUGCUAACAAUUCUCUUUCCGUAUUUUCACCUUCAGAAGCUUGAUUGAAAAGACAACUUGCACUACAAUAUAAUUUACUUUCCUUACUUGUUGCGUUUAAUCUUUUUCCGUGACAUAUAAACACAUGGUAUGUUACAACCGAAUUCUUUUAGGUAGAAAAAUCAAUGGUUAUUUUAUUGGGGUUAUUUUAUGAUAAAAAAAUAUUUUGAGGGUUUAAGAUGAAUAAAAUUUUUAGUUUGAAUUUAUUUUUCUAAAUUUGGAAGUUAAGGAUUUAAUACUUUAUUAUAUGAAAUUUAGUAUCACUAAAUGUUAUAUUAUAUGAAAGAUGAUGGACUUACCUUGCAAAACCCCACUAAUUUGAUCAUUUGAACCCAAUUGCCAUUAUUUUUCAUACCAAACCGGGCAGAGAGGCUGGAAACGGCAGAGGAGGAAAAGAAGAAAGAAAAGAGAAGAGAAAGGAAGAAAAAGAAGAAGAGAAGGGAAAAAGAGGAGGAGAAAAAGGAAGGAAAAUAGGUAGUUCGAGCUUGUAUCCAUUCUCCUUUCUCUAUAUUUUCUUCAAGAGGUAAAGGAAUGAUUCUAUGUUAAAUUUAACUUCUGGCAUAAAUUUCAGAUUUAAGAGGAUAAGAGUACAAAUUGGAGCUCAAGUUUGUUGAUUCUUUAAUCUCCAAUUUCAUUAAGGUAAGAAUACCAAUUUUUGGAAAACCCUAGAUUUUAAAUUGGAUACUUGUGUAAGGAUUAAUUGUGAACAUGAUUAUGGCGAUGAUUUAUUAACUUGAAAGAAUUGAACUAUGGAAUAAGAUGUAAAUUAGAUUGGUGCAAGUUGAAAUUCAAGUUUCACUAGAUUAGAACAAAGAAUUGUUUGUAUGUUUGGGAUGUGCGUAAUUAUGAUAAUUUAAAGAUUAGUGAAAGGCUAGAAGGUAGAAUUUGUUUUAAUUGUGAAGGAAACUAAAGAAUAUAUUCAAGUGCCGAAAAGUCAAGUUCUAAUAUUUCAUAAUUAAAUGUUAUGAGAUAUUUAGUAUGGGAGUUGUUAAAUUAGUUAUUUUACAUCAUAUUUCAGGUGAUGACGUGAAAGCUCGACAAUGCUGGUCAAUUUGACUAGAUUGCUAUCCAUAGAUCUGUGAGUAGAGAAUCUACGUUUUCAAAAAGAAGAUUUUAUUUUUAUUUUUAUUUUAUAGAAGCAUAUUUAUUACAUGAAAUGCCUUAUUUUCGAGAAUUACUAGAUGAGUGUGAUUGUUUUGAAGUUAUUAGAAAAUAAUUGAUGUGAUUAUCUUACUCUAGUGCACUGAGGGGCUAUGACCGUAUACUAGAGUCAUGUAUUUAACUACUAUACAUUGAGGGGCUACAGCUGUGUGUAAGGUAACUUUUAUCCACUAAGGGGCUACGACCGUGGAUAAAGGCAUCUAUUAGACAUUGAGGGGCUACAGUCGUGUAUAAGAAUGGUUAUGUUUCCAUCUUGGACACUGAGGGGCUACGGCCAUGUACAGAGUAUUGAUCAGACGGUUUAUGUGCAUAUGAUUCAUAGCUUUCAGAUCAUUAGUAGAUGUUUACAUGGGAUAUAUUUUGAUGUGAAUUUUAAGUAUAUAAGGGAUUAUUAUCCUACAGCUUACAUUUCCCCGUUUACAGUUCAGCUUAUGGAUUUCAAAUUAUAGAGUUCAAUUUAUUCAGUUUUAAGAAUAAAGCUUCCAGCUUAUAAUAUUGAGCAAUAACAAUAUUCCAUAGAUUUUCAUGAACAUCAGAUUCUUUAUAUUCGUUAUAUUUUGCAGUUACUUGUCUAGAAUUAAGAACAAAUAAUUUUAUAAUGCAAUCAUGCGUAGUUUAAAAGUGCUGCUAGAUUUAAGCAUUUCUUGAAGAUUUAAUAGAGUUAGAAUUUUCAGAAAAUAUGCAUAAAUGGAAAAGCAUGCUUAUUUUCAAUAUAUCCACUCACUAAGUUACAAACUCAUAUUUUGUUACCCUUUUUCCUUAUCAGAUAGCAGCCGAGUUGAACAGUAUUGGAGCCUGUCGAUCCUUUGAAUUGAGCCACACGUCAUUAGUUGUAUGGUCUACUUUAUCAGAUUAGGUAGCACCUGUUUCUUGGGUUACAUGUAGUUUAUGUUAGAAAAGGUUGUCAUGAGAUCACUAUAUGGUAUAUUUAGUACAUUUGAGGAUUGUCGGUAACAAGUAAAUAUCAAAUUGUCAGUAUUUUAUUUUGAAUAGUUUGGAUUUUGAGGCACUGGUGUACUUGUUUUAUAUUAUAUGUAUUGAUUUGAGGAAAUUGAUUAUGGAUCAGGUGGUUUUAGUACAUAUAUUUGAAGAGAUUCUAUCAAAAUUCUUUAAAAUUUCCUCACAGUUAGACAAGUCAAGGUUGCGUUGGUGGUGGGUCCGGCACUUAGCUGAUAUCUACCAUCGGUGCAUGACAUAUGUCGGAUCCAUUAAGGUGAUUGGGGACGGGUCGUGUCAUGGUAAUUAUGAUGAUGAUGAUGAUAGUAUCUAAAACUUCUGAAUAUGCUAGAAAGAAAGGAGUAGAUCUGAAAGGGGAAUUGCCGAUUGGAGUUGACGAAAAUAGUGUGGAUACUUGGGUCUAUCCAAAUCUGUUGUACAUGAGCACCUCCACUGGGCACCUUCAAAUUAUUUUGACAAAAAUGGACAACAUUGAGGUUUCCUUAUAAUUAGGAAGAAAUGUCCAAAGAUAACUAUGCCUGGUGACGUACUUGUUCAAUGCAGUUUCAUUUUGUAACUUCGUGAUGUCUCGUUUUUCUCUUGUUUUUCAAAGUCCCUACAUCUUUUAGACAAUUCUGUAAUUCUAAAAUAACAGAAAUUCUGCUUUCAUUGACGGAUGGUCAAGUACUUCAUGAUUUAUAUAAUCGAUUGUAUAUUGGGUUUCUUCGGAACUUGGGAGUCCCCAGAUCAUGCAAUCAUUGUCUCUAUGAAAAUUUUUUACUGUCUAUUCCUCUAGCCAGGUAUGUCCUUAUCUUUCUCCUUCGAGAACUUGUCUUUUUUUUUUUUUUUUUUUUUUUUUUUUUUUUUUUUUCNNNNNNNNNNNNNNNNNNNNNNNNNUUUUUUUUUUUGUUAGUUACUUAUCGAGGCUAUAUGUUUAGCCCAAAUGCACUCACAUUCACUUCAUAACUAAUAAACUAAUUGUUACUGUAGGAGGAACUUCAAAAAGAAGGAAUAUGGGACUUUGAUUGCUUCAAUCGACUAUAUAUAUUAGGCAAAAGCUUUUAGAGGUAAUAGAUUUUUGUAUACUCAUUUUCUUCUACAUUUUGAUUUCCCUCAAAUUUGCAAUGCGAGUAAUGCUAUUGAAUUUCAACUUCUACCAUCUUUAGUAGUGAGAACAUGGUAAUCGACUUCAAAUCCUCCAAUUGUGCACUUAUAUGAUUAGUCAUGAACCAUUCAUUAUACACCACAAUACUUUUUAUGCUUAUUUGUUAUUUCCAAAAUUAUAUUUUUAUUGUCCAGUUCUUUUGGGCAUAUAUGUUCUCACGAUGAAAUGGAAACUUGUCGUUUCUUAUUCCCUUAGUUUCAAAAUUUGGAUAGACAUCCGUUUUUCCUCCAGUUUCUUUGAACGGUGUUUUUAUUCUCCACAAUUAUCUUUGCUGCUUUAUUGUUUGGUUAUGCUUUUUCUGGGUUACAGAUGAUUUUUGAUAACUAUUUUCAUUUCUGCUUGCUAAUUAUCUGGUCCCUCCUUUUUUUCUCAUCAUCUGUUGGAUCUACUAUGCAACUUUAUAACUCUUGUGACAUUUUGGAUUUUGCUUUCUCAUUAACCUACAGAAUAAAGGGAAAGUUUGGUUCUUAAAUUUGUAGGGAUCAAUAUUUUCUGGUCUAAAUAUUGCCUUUCAAUGAUUAUAUGUGAAAUCUAUAUUUGAGUUCUUCAUAUUUUAGCAAAAAUUUUCUGGUGCAUGUCCUACUAAUAGAAAUAAUGAAAUAAGAAGAUGUAUUCUCUACGUGGAAGAUAAUUUUGUUUAGACUAAAUCUUUCAUAGGAGAAAAAUUCCUACUGUUUUCAUGAUAACUUCCAGUGUUGUAGUAUGAUUCUAUAUUUUGCAUUCACAAUUCCUUUUCAUGUUGAAAUUUUCAAAUAUAAACCUAAUUCUUGUAGUAAAACUUUGAAAUAUUUAACUACUCUCGAGCCCUCAUCUUGCAGCCAACUCUCAAAUACAUAUAUCGCAAUCUCUUUUUUGUCGGAGGUCAAAAUUUUGUACUUCAUAAAUUAAUUUGUUCCAUUGUCUAAAAUGCAUGAAACUAACACUCAUCUACAAAUGACCAUUCAAUCGAUAAACACAAAUUCCCCCAAAACUUUCAUAUUCAAAAUGCUAACGUACAAAAAAAUACAACCCAUCCAUUGCAUGGUCAAUGCACAAGUUUUGACAAAAGAGUUUAAUAUUUCUUGAAUAAUUUGUCCUAACUCUGAAAGAAGUUUUGUGACAUGAAUAAAUUAUUUUGAGACUCUAACUCAAUCUCAUAGCAAGUUUAACCUACAAUGAUGCUAUAAAUUGAGAGAAGAGGGAGUAAGAGAGAGAUUGAAAGCACAAUAAACUUAAAAUUUUUUAACAAAAAUCUGCUGUCACAGCAAAUACUUAAAAUGUUUAACCGAAAAUUCUACGACCAAAUUCUUCAUGCUUUUCUUGUUCUUUUGUUCAAUCUUUGGGGCUUUUUCUAUAUAAAUCCUCGCAUUUGUAUCUUUGAAAAAAAAGGUCAAAAAAUUUUGUGGUGCAAGGAUGAUGAUGAUGGAAAUAAAUAGGAUAUUUAUAUCAUUUUACUCGCGAUUACUUAAUUCUUAUGGAGCACCUAAUACUUAUCGUGAUGAUAAUAUAAGUACCUUUGAUGAAUAAGAGAUAACCUAAUUGGAGGACAAAUUUUAGACUCAUGAAUCAGUUUAGGCAGCCAUGUCCUUACUUGAAAAUGAAUCCCUAGAAAAAUCUGGGAUUUCCAAAUCAGAGGUCUAAGAGUUGGAAUGCGGAAGUGAAAUUUUCUAGAAAUUAAAAAAAAAAAAAUCAAUAAACAAGAUCGUCUAGACGUUGUUCACGUGCAUGUUAUGUCAAGAAUAAAUGAAUCGAACUUUUACCUAAAUUCGAUGAUCAAUGCUUGAAUUAAUUCUGAAUCUCGAAUUUAGAGCUUUUUGGAUGAUGAACUUCUAGCUUUUUAAUUCCAAGAACUUAAUAUUUCAAACGUCCAAGUCUUUAAUAGUAUUCUCCAGAAUCAAGACUACAUCGGUGGGUGGGUAAUUGUCGUGGAAAUUCUUCGAUAAGUCUUGAUUCCGGGCUCAGAAAACAACCAAACGAACACCAAUUUGUUAAGAUUUGCGGUCCAUCUUAAUAAGGUCAACCUUAUUAAGAGGAGUAGCCAAAGAUCUAUUUAAAUUGGUCAAUAUUUCAGUAUUUAACCGAUGUGGGCUUUAUUCCCUUAACAUGCCUCCACAAGAUGAUGACUCUUUUUUAGCAGACCAAUCUUGAAAUCCGUGUACUCAUUUUUGAGACUUAAUCGGAUCGAAUAGCUCGUUGGAACUUACUAGGCUCUGAUACCGUGUUAAGAUUUGGGAUCCAUCUUGAUAAGGUCAACCUUAUUAAGAGGAGUGACCCAAGAUCUAUUUAAGUUGGUUAAUAUUUCGGUAUUUAGCCGAUGUGCGAUUUAUUCCCUUAAUACAAUUUACCUUGGCUCGACCCAAAGCUUCACCUUCACUUUGGACUGCCCCAAGCUCUUUCAAACCCCACAAAGGAGAAGUGAUGGUGGUGGUAAUAGGAAGAAGAAGAGGCAACAAUAGGGGGAAUCACUCCAACAAACCCCCCAAGCCGGCUACCGUCAACCCUCUUGACCCUCUCUUCCACUCUCACACACUGACCACCACAAAAAGGGCUGCAAGAAGAUGGGUAUAUAUAGGAUAUGUUAGGUACACAACUUGGGGAAAAGGCUUAUGCAAAUGGGCUUCUACUUAACCUAAACAAAUGGGCUACCAAUUAAUCCAAAACCUACAAUCUAAUAACCCAACUACUACUUGGACCAUCCACAAGUUUAGGUUAUUUUUGAGUCGAGCCAAUUCCAUGGUAUCGAUAAAUAAUUUAACAACUGUUUUAAAUCAUCUCCCAGAUAAUUCAACAACUGUCUUGAUCCUUGGGAGCUCACAAACGCAUCUAACAAUGUCCAAAACCGAUGUUAUUUGAAAAUUCUGCCACAAGAUUUGAUUUCUUUCUGUAAAACGAGCCUCUAUAAUCAAAUGCCUAAAGCUAUUCCAACUAAUUUACUAAGAAAUAGCAGGAAAAAUCAGUGUCAUAUCACUUUAUGGUAAUUUCUUCAAUCAUUUUAGAUGAAUUAACGUACCCAUAAUUCUCCAAAAAAAACAAAAAAAAAAAAAAAAAAAAAAAAAAAAAGAAAAAAAAAAAAAAAAAAAAAAAAAAAAAAAACCCCUUCUUCCAUGGAAAAUAUUCCUGAUCCAUAAGUAGAAUGCAUAACAUCAGCCAACAAAGGAAACUGUAAGAACGCAAAUAGCGUAACUGGAACACAAGCUGUGAGAGCAAUCGGGAUAAUAAUCCAAGCCAGUUGAUGUUGAUGUCCAACCACAAUGAAAAAGCUUGCACUAAAAGCAAGUAGCAUUGAUGCUAUCGAAAAGAAAAGUGUUGUUAGGCCAAUAAUCAGCCUCUUCGGCAAAGACUCAAGGAAAUCUUCUUCAGCAUAACUCGAGGUGAGGAUAGAUAAGAACAUCAAUAUAGAUGUCACAGAGGAGAACAGAGCUAGUGCAUCUGACAUGGAGAAAAUUAUAAAUGACUUGUCCUUAAGGAACAUAGGGGUUCCUGUAUCAUUGUUGUUGCCUCCUGGUACUGUAAAAAUUGCGGCAAACAUUACUGUAGUAAUAAGUGUUGCAACAAGCAUGCAGGAUGAUGCUGUAUCCUUCAUCCAUUUCUCCCCACUCUCUACUAAUCCCUUGUGUUCCUGAGUAAAUAGCAUUUGGGGUGUUCUACCUUCUGAGUCUUUCAUUUCCUUGUAUAAUGGCAGCAUAUUCUUCUCAACUUCCUUUGAAUGUUAAUAAGAAGAAGAGUCAAAACACAUGGAAAGCAAUUUUAAUUAACUUAAACGGGAAAGAAUAAAGUUUGAAUACAAUUUGAAAGUCACCUUAAACCACAGCAACUCCCGUUGCAUUUGAAGUGCUGCACCAGAGACAAUAUUAAGUCUGUUUGAAGGAGCCAAGUUUGCAGCCAAGUGCAACAUGUUACAAUUGCUGGGGUUCUUAUAGGAUGUGAUCAAAUCUUUGUAUGCUCCUAUGUCAUAAAGAAGUUUGAAGAUUUUUUCUUGGCGAUGAAUAACUGCAAUGUCAAAAAUGCUUCGACUUUGCUCAUCAACUUUCCAAAUGAGAUCAGGACAGGAGAGAAGAAGCUCCCUAAUGAACUCAAAGUUUCCAAAUUCUGUAGCUAUGAACAAUGGUCGUGAAGGGCUUCUGAGUAACUUCCCAAUUUCUGAAUCAUCCAAUAAGAAGAGAACCUGUUUCCACAAGAAUUUUACCAAUUCCAGGGCUUGGGAUUGCAUCAGCGUUUUCUCAAUAACUCCCUGGAUUCCUAGAUUUAUAAGGAAACAAAAGUCAAAUCACCAAAGUUGAUGAACACGCUUAUUAUGGGACUUGUAAUGCAUUCUAUACCUGUUAGGUUCAUAACAACAUUGAGAAGUCUGAAGUUGCUAGUACGACCAGUCUUGUUCAACAGUUUUGCACUCACACCUGAAAUAUAGCUUGAUGUUGUAGAAUUCUAGAAUACUUGAUUCAAUAAAGAACACAAAUGAGAGUCCCUUUUCAGUUUGCCAUGCUUUGACAGAUUAACAUAUUGAUUACAAUUUAAACAGAAAUGAAAAAUCUUACAGCGGUAAAGACAUCUCUUCCAGAUUCCUAGUUCACUUUUGCCUGAAAAUGCUGGAGUCUUUCGUGCUAGAACAUGAAGUGCUGUCUCGCCACUGGGAUCUCUUUCAAUGGCUAGUUCUGGUUUCUGUUCAAGUAUAUGCAGAGCAACAUCUGAAAAAUGUAAACAGUUUGCCUCAUCUAUGCUGUUUUUUAAAAUUAUUUAUAUAUACGUUUGUGGAUCGAAUGCUAUCUCACCAUAUAAAUCAGAGCUAAUGGUUGCAAUUAGUAGCCCAACAUAGUCCUCUUUGGUAAGAAAUUGGCUAUCCGUUACCGAAGAAAUAUACCAGACCAUGUCUCUGUAUCCCAAUAAAGCAGCAAUGUGUAGGGCUGUCACUCCAUUGAUACCUCUUAUCAUAGGCAAGUAUCUGUUUUUUGCUACCAUUAACUCUGCAAUUUUUGUAAUACCAGAUGCAACAGCAAAGCAAAGUGCAGUAUUUUCGUACUUAUUUUUAAGUGCCAAAUCCAAUGGAUCCAUCAUUUUGACCAAUUCUUCUACAAAUAUUAUCCGUUUUGCGCCUGCUGCAAUAUGCAGAACACUUUCCCCUCCGUUUGUGAUCCUUGCAGUUAUUGCUUGAGGAUGUAGAUUGAAAAAUUCUUUUGCUUCUUCCCAAUCACCCUUGAGUGCAGCAAGGUACAGAGGCACAUACAAUGCAAGGUUCCUGGCUGAAUUAGUCCGCUCUAAUGUUAAUGAACCAGAGGCCCAAGUCAGAAAUCCAAUAUACUUAUGUUGGUCAUAGUCUACAAAAUGACGGCAGCGACAGAGAAAUCCAGUAGAAAAUACAUCAUUUUUUUCUAUUCGACUAUUGGCAAUAUAAAAAUAUCAUGUGGAGGUUAUUGGCUCCCUCCGAAUUUAGCCAUAGAAUAUUAUGGUAAAAAGGGUUUACUUACCGGCUCCCUCCGAAAAUGAAAUACGAUGUGCUUGUGUCCCAGUAGGAAAGAACUGCAAGGAAGUGUGAUUUGGGAUUUGACCAUUGGAACAGUGGGUUGGCUGAACUUAAACGAAAGGGUAAGAAGUGAUUCCAGUGUUGUUCAAAUCAGGUUCUUCGGCACCACCAGAGGCUGGGAUGCAGUUUAGUUCCCGGAAGCAGGACUGAAUAGAAAGAGUUCUCUGAAGUUGAAACUUACUCGAGUUUUCCAUCACUCGCAACCAGAUCAACUACUACUUCAAGCUAUGGAAAUAAAUAAUAGCCAGAAAUUAAGAAGCUAGAAUGAAUUUCUUCAAUAUGAAGUCAACUCCACCAUUUCUAGAAACUUACCAUUAGUUGAAAGUUUUUUGAGCAAGAUAAUGCUCAAUCAGUGCAAGGAAAAUUCCUGAAAGAUGUGUGACAUGAAGAAAAUAAUACUAACACUUUAUAAAAAAUAAUUUCAAGUCAUAAUCUUUGGAAAGGUAAAAGAUAUAUUCGACUCGUUUGGUCACAUCUAAUCUUUGAAAAGAUAAAGAUGGCACAUAAAGUUAUAAACUUUUUGACACCACUACUAAUUUUGAGCAACUUCUACAAUUAAUUUAUUGGCUUUUUCUGUCAAUUUAUUCGCAUUGACAGAGACAUCAACCCCCCUUCUUCUUCUUCAUUUUUUUUUUGUCAAAUAUUGACAGAGACUUUCUGUCAAUUUAUUCGCAUUGACCGAGACAUCAACCCCCCUUCUUUUUCUUCUUUUUUUUUUUUUUUGUCAAAUAUUGACAGAGACUUUGUGUCAAUUUAUUCGCAUUGACAGAGACACCAACCCCCCUUCUUCCUUCUUUUUUUUUUUUUUUUUGUCAAAUAUUGACAGAGACUUUCUGUCAAUUUAUUCGCAUUGACAGAGACAUCAACCCCCCUUCUUCUUCUUCUUCUUCUUUUUUUUUUUUUUUUUUUUUUUUUUUGGUCAAAUAUUGACAGAGACUCUCUCUCAAUUUAUUCGCAUUGACAGAGACAUCAACCCCCCUUCUUUAUUUUUUAUUUUUUAUUUUUAUUUUUUGUUGUCAAAUCCACCCUCCCAAAAAGAACAAGAAAUAUCGGGAAAACAGAAUUUGGUGGAUUCAGUUUGACUUUGUCGUUUUGAUUAUAUUUUAUUUUGCCAUUUGGAUUUACUUAGUUCUAGCUAUUUAUUUAUAUAUUUACAGUUAACGCCGCUAUCCUUGCUUAAAUUAACAAUUUUUUUUAAUUUUUUUUUUACGGGCGGUUCAUGGUAGGGACUUUUUUUUUUUUUUUUUUUUUUUUUUUUUUUUUUUGGGCUCAUUCGGGACGGGGUAGGUUUUUUUGCCAUCUUUACUCUCUAAUGACUUAAAUUUUCAAAACUCUGCAGCGAUGAAUAAUUAUCGUAAAGGGAGGCCAAUAACUAAAUCAUAUUCAUUAAGGUUUCCAACGUGAUUAAGCACUUUGAUUAAAUGUUUCUAUAAUGCUACUGUUAAUUUUACUUGUUACCCAACAUUAUAAUCACACCAUAAUUAAUAUCAAUUUUAAAAUGAAAACAUCACAACAAAUUUACAGUUACAAUCCUAACCCAAUAAAAAUUAAAAAUGCAUUUUUUUUUUAUAUAUAAUGUAUUCUCCAUCCAAAAAUUGCUCAUUAUUUCCCUCAUCUUUCCCCACCCAUUCUUCAUCACAGAUUUUCCCCAUCCACCCCUAGUUUAAACUAAUAAAAUUGGAGGAAAGGUAGAAUAAUAUUCACUUUUAACACUCAAAUUUAUAAUGGCAGAAUGCAUGAAGAGAAUUCUCUGAACUUCCCCAUAGAAUUUCAGAUCCAUUUCCUAAUUUGCAUUUAGAUUUUUUGACAUAAAAGAUGUGAAAAAUAAACAUGCAAAUCUACUUUAUUUAUGUUCUUCGCUUAUAAUUUUGACAAAAGAGUUUAAUAUUUCUUGAGUAAUUUGACCUAACUCUAAAUGAAGUUUCAUGACAAGAAUAAAUUAUUUUAAGACUCUAACUCCAUCACAUAGCAAGUUUAACCUACAAUUAUACCAUAAAUUGAGAGAAAAGGAAGUAAGAGAGAGAUUGAAAGCACAGUAAACUUAUAAUUUUUUAACAAAAAUCUGCUGUCACAGCAAAUACUUGUAAUAUUUAACUGAAAAUUCUACGACCAAAUUCUUCAUGCUUUUCUUAUUCUUUUGUUCAAUCUUUGGGGUUUUUCUAUAUAAAUCUUCGUAUUUGUAUCUUUGAAAAGAAGUUCAAAAAAUUUUGUGGUGUAAUGAUGGUGAUGGAAUGAAUAAAUAUAUCAUUAAACAAUAAACAGGAUAUUUAUAUCAUUUUACUCGCGGUUACUUAAAUAAAUAAGAAAAUUGUGGAGCACCUAAUACUUAGAGUGAUAAUAAUAUAAGUACCUUUGAUGAAUAAGAGAUAACCGGAUUGGAGGACAAAUUUAAGACUCAGGAAUCAAUUUAGGUAGCCAUGUCCUUACUUGAAAAUGAAUCCUUAGAAAAAUCUGGUAUUUCCAAAUCAGAGGUCUAAGUGUUGGAAUGUGGAAGUGAAAUUAUCCAGAAAUUAAAAAUAAAUAAAUAAAUAAAUUCAAUAAAUAAGAUCAUCUAGACUUUUACGUAUAUGUUAUAUCAAGAAUAAAUGAUUCGAACUUUUAUCUAAAUUCAAUGAACAAUUCUUGAAUUAAUUCUGAAUCUCGAAUUUAGAGCAUUUUGAAUCACGAACUUCUAACUUUUUAAUUCCAAAAACUUGAUGUUUCAAACCUCCAAGUUUAUAAUAUUAUUCUCCAGAAUCAAGACUACAUUGGUGGAUGGACACAUUUUUUUAAUUAAAUAAAGAAACUAAUUCUUGAUCUGGACAAUUGGGAAAAAAAAAAAAAUAUUUCCAAAAUUUGAAUACCAUGAAAUUAUGUAUUAUGAUUUUAUACAAUUAUAUAGGAUGUCUAGAUUCUAUCUAAUCUCUUUUUAUAGAUAUAUAAAAGUUCCAAUUCUUAUACAAUAAUAAUUCAACAUUUAAGUAGGAGUUCUAACUAAAGUCCAAAUCAAAUUAAUUUAUAUUUGAUUACAUGCUUAGCCUUGGAAAUUCAAUUAGAAUUAUAAUUAAGUUUACAACUUUCAUAGUAAUUAUAAUUAAGUACGAAACUUUAUUUUAAUUAUAAUUAAGCCCAUAACUAUUAUAGUUACCGUAAUUAAGUUCUAAUACUUUAUAGAACUACCAUAUACUCUAUAUAUAAAUUUAGUAUCGUUUUAUUUGGUUACCAAGAUUAUAAACGAGAGCCUCUAAGAGGUUCGUACAUGAUCUCGAUUUGAGUGUAUAACUUUUGUCUAGAUAUCUAGCUACUUGAAAAUAAUUUCGCCAUCUAUAAAAUGGUCACAAAUUAUAUUCUUAUUUAGAUAAUUUUACCGUGACGGAAUUCAAUCAAACAACUUGAACUACGUGGCCCUCCUACAGGAAGUUCAUUAUAUUAUUGGCACGAGAUAAGCACGAUACUUUGCUUAUGGAUUGACCAAGGGAGACCAUCAGUUUUUAUUUGAAUAAACACUCGCUCCACUCAAUAUUUUUAAGUGAUGGAUUUUAAUAAUAAAUAAUUACCAAUUGUUCACAUUAAUUAAAUUAAUAUACAGUAUAAUUAUUAUGAAUUUUUUGUCCAAAAAAGUUUAGUCUAAAUUAAAUUGAUCAAGAAAAAUUUAAAUAAUUAUAAACUAUUGAUAUUGAUCAAAUUAAUAUACAGUUUUAGAAAAAAUUAAUUUAAGUUAAAUUAAUCAAGAGAAAUUAAAAUAAUUGUCAACUUUUCACAUUAAUCAAAUUAAUAUACUUCCUUCCCAAAAAAAUUAAUCUAAAUUAAAUUAAUCAAGAAUAAUAAUAAAUAAUUAUCAACUGUACACAUUAAUAAAAUUAAUAUAGAGUUCAAUUAUUACUAUUUUUCCAUCUAGAAAAAUUUAAUCUAAAUUAACUUAAUAAAAGAAAAGUUCGUGUUCAAUGAUAUACAUCAUAUUCAUAGUAUCACAAGUGAUAUCACAAAUAAAUCUAUAUGUCAAAAUAUCUAUAACGAUUAUAUUUCAAACAAAAAUUUAAAGCAUUCAUAAAGUGAUAAAAUUAACAAUUAUUUGUGGUCCAAAAUAACUCAAGAAUUAAAUUAAAAACUAACUGGACCCAUGCCCAUAAAUAAUCUAAAUCUUCAGUCUAAAAAAAUUUCAAGCAUCCAGCAAUAACAACCAUACAACAAUAGGACUCUGUCACUGUACCUGAAAAAUUAACUAAUUUAGAAUUUGACUUAUCCAGAUCUGACCCGAUUCGCAAAACGAACCCAGACCAAAAGUCAACCUAAAACAGCAGCUUGUUGGAUUGGUGCAACGGGAUACAACAGAUCGCUGCACCAAGGGAGCAUACUGUCGCCUUGCGCAACACUUAGCAUAGCAACAUGCUUGUUUCGCACAACAAUAGCUUGUUGCAGGCAACAACUGUUGCUUUCUUGGAAACAUUGCUGCAAAUUUUUUUCUUUUUAUUUCCUGCGUCAAAUUCUCGAAUUCUUCCUCGUUUCAACUUCAAUCUUCAAUCAAUUUACAAGAUACAAAAUUACAAGAAUUACACAAUUCCUACGUCUCGUGGGCUCACAAUUUUGAAUCUAAUUGAACAGAAAAUUAAAUCAAGAUGAUGGAGUCGUGAUUCAUCGAUCUUGUUACAGGUUUGAAAUAACGAAUUACAUCAAGAAUUGGCCACAAAUAAUUAAUUCACAAUUUAAAAAGAAUUCAAUCAUUCAAUCAACAUAUAAUAAAUUAUUCCUAGACAUCGUUCGACUAUGACGUACAAUCAAGAUUCAGAAAUAACAAACACGUGAACAAUAUAGAUUACACUGAUACUAGUUGUUAGACAUUAAAAUUAUAUAAUUCAAUAAAUAUGGUCGUGUAGAUGUUCACAUGUAUGUUAUAUCAGAAUAAAUGAUUCAAACUUUUACCUAAAUUCGAUGAUCAAUUCUUGAAUUAAUUCUAAAUCAUGAAUUUUCAACUUUUUGGAUCAAGAACUUCCAGCAUUUUAAUUUCAAGAACUUGAUAUUCUCCAAAGUCAAGACUACAUCGGUGGGUAGACAUCUUCUUUUAAUUAAAUCAAGAAACUAAUUCUUGAUUUGGACAAUCAAAAAAAGCAAGAAAAUUUUUUCUUUCUUUCUUUUUCUCUCUCCAAUGUUUGAACACCAUAGAAUUAUGUAAUAUAAUUUUGUAUAAUUUGAUAGGAUGUAUAGGUUCCUUCUAAUCUCUAUUUAUAGAGAUAGAAGAGUUCCAAUCCUUAUAUAAUAAUAAUUCCAUAUUGAAAUAGGAGUUCUAAUUGAAAUAUCAAUAGGAGUUUUAAUUAAAAUCCAAAUCCAAUUAUUAUAUAUUUAAUUAAUGUAUAGUCCUAGAACUUCAACUAUAAUUAUAAUUAAGUUUACAACUUUCAUAGUAAUUAUAACUAAGUAUAAAACUUUAUUGUAAUUAUAAUUAAGCACAAAACUAUUAUAAUCACCGUAAUUAAGUUUCAAUACUUUAUGGAGCUACCAUAGGGAUCUGAUCGGACAUAUAUUAUUUAAACUCCAAUAAUUGGAUCCUGUCUAGUUGACCCUAGACCACUCAAUCUAAUUAUUAGUCUUUACUUUUCCAUUAAAGAUAAAAGACUGAACUCUCGAAAUAUAUAAGAUCACAGAAGUCAAUAAAUCUGUAAUACUUUCCUCUGACCUAUCGUAUAGGUAUGUUAUGCCCGUCCGAGAUUCGAUAAUUAAGUAAGAACACAAAUGACCAUCUUGUCUAUCUAAUUAUUGCCACUAACUUAAAUACCAUUUUCUUCAACGGUCUUGUGAAUUAAUCAAAAACGUCAAAGUUUAGUCAUCGCUGAAUACUGAGCUCAAAUUUUAAUUGUUUAGUAGAAAAUAUUUAAGUAGUCACUCUACCAAUUUUUUAGGAUAAUGGUUCCCGACAUGAAUUCAUGCUCUCUACUCCGCUCAUUCUCAAGUUCACAAUUUAUUGAGAUAUUUGACCAAUUAAAUUGAUUUCACCCAUUGAUGAAUCAAAGAACCAUUAAAAUUAGGAGUGGGCAUAGGUUGGGUUGGGUUGGUUUUUGCCCAAACCCAAACCCAACUCAACAUGUUCGGUUUGAUUAAAAAUCAUACAAACCCAACCCAAUUAAAUAUUGGAACCCAACCUAAUCCAACCCAAUCAAGUCUCGAUCGGGUUGGGUCAGGUGGGUUGGUUUGGCAAAGUGUAAUAAAACAUACUCAAAUAAAACAUGUACGUCAUCCAAGUAAAAUUAAUAUUUAGUAUGGGGAACAACUAUCUGAAUAAAAAUUAGACCAAAUACAACUAAUAUAGUCAUGAUCCAAUGUCAAUAAACUUAGAAACUAAUACAGACAGUAAACUUGUGAUAGACAGCUACCUAAGCAAAAUGAUUCAUCAAAAGCUUUGCAUCUCAAAAGGGCUGUCAUCUAUUGUAAAUAUUGCAUCUUAGAAAAGCUGCCAUCGAUUGUAUCUCGGACCUCAGUUUGCAAUCUCCAAACAAAUCGCAACAAAAAAUAGAAGCUGCUGAUUCUUAUUUGUACAAGUAAACAUAUCACAUAAAAUUGAAAAUGUUGGAAGCUUGAUCUGUCUGCAUAAUAGAAGCAUAAAAACUUGAUUCACUUAAAUUAAAGAGUUGCCAUCCAAUGUAAAAUUUGCAGGCAUUGUCAUCUAUUGAAUUAGAAGCUUGAUCUUGGAUAUAUACUUGCACACACUAUGAUGUGAUAUGAACUAAAACUAGUAAUGAGAUUCUUUGGAUUCUAGAGGAGGGUAUUACUUGAGAAUGAUAAGUGGUUGUGUCAAAUCUUUGAUCCCAAGGCUAGAAAGUUUGGAUAAAGAGGUUCCAGUCUAGCCACCUCUUUUCAAACCAAAACAAGUAGGUUGUCCAUUAAAGCUACCAAUCUUUUGAGAUUCUAAAACCAUAUAGCAUAACAUAGUGAUUGUAGAUAUACAUAUUUAAUUUGAUUAAACGAAUUAUAAGACAUCUCAUAGAAACAGUGAGAAGAAAGGAAUUUAACAAGACUAGAGACAUAAAGUUUUUACUUACAAACAUAGCAGGAGUAGCAAUUAUGACCAAGCUCAAUUAUGUUAAUAUAUAGCAAAAAUAAUUGUACAAUACUAGAGCUCGAAGUAUCAAGUGUCCUGUUAGCAUAUAAAAAAGUGAAAAAAUCAGUUCUAGAGAACUAAGAAACCUGCUGGAAAUAUACAAACCAUGAAAUUAUUGACAUAUUAAUAUGCCUAUCUCAAAAGUGAAACCAUGUAAAAUGAAAUGAAUCACUUAGCAUUGGGCCUCAUCUUCAGUUGAUUUUGAAUUCAUUUAUUCUUAAAGUUCAUCCAUUUGGUUGUAAUACUCAACAUCUUACAUGGAAAAACCAUCCAAGUUCGGAGAAGCCUUUAACCAAUUUUGAGUGCAGACUAAGACCUCAACCAUUCUAGGACUUAAGGAACUACGGAAAUGAUCAAGUAUCAUUCCUCCAGUACUAAAUGCACUUUCUGAAGCAAUAGUUGAAAAUUGAAUUGCCAACACAUCUUUGGCCAAAUUGGACAAGAUGCUAUAUUUAUUUCCGUCCACCUUCCACCAAUCUAGAACUUCAAAAUCCUUACUCUCUAUGCUUUCAGGAGCAUCCAAUAAGUAUCGUCCAACAUCAUUUUUUAUCUCAACCUUAUCAUUAAUUGCUUGUUUUUCCAUAAAUCUAGAAAGAUGAGCAUCACUCAUAGAAGAAGAACAUCCUUUAUAAGUAUUGAUAGAACUUGAAGACUCCUUAGUUGAUGCUUGACUACUUCUAUGAAUGCCUUCAUGACUCACAUACCACUUAUAAAUAUCCAUCAAAUUGGCUUUCAAAGACUUCAUAAUAUUACUAACAACUUUCCCAUCCAUAUAUAGAUCAUUCAAACAAUAUUCAACAUAAUCUAUUUUGUAUUUUGGAUCAAGAAUAGUAGCAAAAAGCAACAAUUGAUUCACACGUUCCAUUUUACUCCAAUACUUAUCAAACUUCUUCUUCAUAUUAGCCGCCAUUUUACCUAACAAAUAAUUUCCCCUUAGUUUCCAUUCAUCCAAUUCGAUUACAAUAUUACAAAUUUCAUGAAGAUAAGCACAAGCACUAAACUUCAAAGUCACAGUGAAGAAAUUUUCAAGAAAUUUAACAAAAACAUAUGCACUUUCCCAAUCUAAAUUUGACGGAGGUCGACCCUUCCUUCUUCCAUUAUCAUCAUCUCAAAGGUAAUGCAAAAUACUGAGCAUCCUCUUCUUCUAACCUAUCGAAAGCUUUUUCAAAUUUCAAUGCCGUUUCCAACAUCAAAUAGGUAGAAUUCCACCUAGUUGGGAUAUCCAAAAACACAAUAGACUUGCAAUCAAUCUUCUCUUUCCUUGCAUACUCGUUCAAUUUUUCAUACCUAGAGGGAGAAGAUUUCACAUAUUUGAUUGCAUUGCGAAUAUUCACAAUGGAGUUAUGUGCUUCCCUCAAGCCUUCAACAACAAUCAAAUUGAUGAUGUGCGCACAACAUCUCAAGUGCAAAUACCUUCCAUCUAGAACACAUCCAUCACUACCCCAAGAAACUACCUUUCCCCUAAGAUAAGAAAUGGCUGUGUCAUUGGAGCUUGCAUUAUCAAUAGUGAUUGCAAAAAUUUUCUCUAUACCUCAAUCAUGUAAACAAGACUCAAUAAUUUUUCCAAUUGUUUCUCCCUUAUGAUUUAGAACAACACAAAAACUCAAAAUGUGCUUAUUAAGCGUCCAAUCAAGAUCAAUGUAGUGUGCUGUAAGAGCCAUGUAAUUAAUAUUCUGAAUAGAAGUCCAAGUAUCAGUUGUAAGUGAAACCCUUGGACGGUGAAAAGAAAAGGCAUCUCUCAAUUUCAAUUUUUCAUCUAAAUACGACUGAUAAAUAUCUCUAACAAGAGUCCUACGAGAUGGAGCCUGAAAUUGUGGACAUGAUACACUACAAAAGAGCCUAAAACCAUGAGCUUCAACAAACUUAAAAGGUAAUUCAUCAAAAACUAUCUUUUUAGCACAUGUAACUCUAUACUCUUCCUUUCUUCAACCAAUAGCAAUAAGAUUGCUCCCUCCACCCUCUUUCAUGUUCUCAAAUGAUAAGGUUUUUUGCUUCUUAUCCACAAAUCUACAUGGAUACUUCUGACAAUUAUUUGUCAAAUGAUUACUCAAUGAACUAAUACUACACUUCUUAGUACCACAAGCAUAAUCUACUCCACAAUAAUUACACUUAUACCUAACAUCUGGAUCAUCCCUUAAACCCAAUAUAGUAAAGUGAUCCCAAACAUAAGAAGCUAAUCUAUUAGGUUUUCGUUUACCCAAUGUUCAUGGUGCACAUGGAGGAAGACCAUAUUGCAAAUCUCUAUCAUUUGAUUGAGCUUGUGUGCCUGAGUCCAUUUUCUAAAAGAUCCAUGACUAUAGAGACUAAAGAAUGCUGGAAGAAAGAGUAAAGCAAGCAAUUAUUUCUUAUCAUUAAAGAAUAAUUUGGUAAGGUCAAGCAAUUAAAGAAUAAUUAUUUCUCAUCAUUAAAGAAUCUUUCUUAUCAUUAAUUUGAGGAAAGCAAGCAAUUAUUUUACUCUUUGAAGGUAUAACUUGGUAAGGUCAACUUAUAAUAAUGAAUAAUCAGAGAAAUGGGAAAUUCUUAUCGACAUUCUAAACCAACGGCUACAAAAUUACGUGUCCCAUUGAACACUGCUUACUGCUUAGAGUAUUUUAGUGUCAUCCAGUGCGUGUCUCAGUCUUUCUUGAUACAAAUGUAGUAUUAAUCGUACAUUUUAAGAUUGUGUUUUUAAUAUAAAAUAAUUAUAGUAAACCGUAAAUACUCGAAAUUAACAUGCUCGACAUCUAAAUCAGCUUGAAUUUAUUUUUCUGUACUGAAUCGAGUUCAUUUUCUAAUAAGUGAAUUUUCCAUUUUCUAUUAAACAUAAUUAAUCACUCCAGUCCAUUUUUUUCCUCUCAAUAAUGUAGGGCACUUAAGGAUGAAUUUGUUUAUUUCUUAUCAAAUCGUUUUAUUAUCCCAGAUGAAUAACACAGUUAAAGCAACAUACAGAAAUAGGAAAACAAGAUCUGUGCAUCCAUUCUUGAAGCGAAUCGUGCAAACCAAUGUGUAAUAGUGUAUAGAUAGAUUUACCUUUUAGUUGAUCAAAACACACCCCACAAUUGAGAAUAGGCCAGCAUUUCUUGAUUUCAUCCUGAAGUUUUUGUAUUGCAGAGUGCAAUUCUGUAUUUAUAAAAAAUAGAAAAUAAGAAAAUAUGAAUAGAAAUUAGAAAAUAUGGAAAUAUCCAUACUCUACCAUUGGAGUGUGGAUGUCCGACAACCGGCGACUAAAAAAAGAAGUUCUCUAUUAGCGAUUUGAGAGAAAAUGACAUGAGAGAGAUUAGGGCUUCUUCUUGGCUCUUGGGUCUUGGAUGUAGCGGCUUGACUUGGGAAUUGGGAUGGGAGUGAAAAUUUUAGGGUUUCUUUUCCUUUUAUAUUAUGUCAUUUUUUUUUACUUAAUAUUGGCAGGUUGGGUUGGUGUGUGUUAGGUCGAUUUUUCUUGUUCAACCCACCACCUGACCUAACCCGUCCUAGUAAGCUAACCCAAUACCAAAACUUGCCUAAAAACACCAAAAAUUUGAAACAAAUCGAUCAGUUUAGGUCAGAUUGGGGGAUUUUCGUAGGUUGGCUUGGCUUUUGCCCACCCCUAAGUGUACUAGUGCCACCUUUAACUAUUUUUGUGAUAAAGACAAAUCACAAAUCUAAAUAGUGAAUCAGUCAAUAUUACAACCUUCCAGUACAAGGUGCCAACCCUUAUACAUUGGUUGUGAACAAAUUAAUUAUGAUCAAAAUAUAUGUUACGUCACAUUAUACUUCUCAACGUAAAUAUCCAACUUAUAUUAUCAAAAGUGAUCAUAGGCACCUUAAUUCACAUGCUCAAUAAUAAAUAAUUGCAACAAAUAAAUAAAACCACAAUUUAUUUAUUAUAAAUAAUUAUUUUAUCAUAACAAAAUACACCAUAUGGGCACGCAACCCAACACUAAGAUCAAUGAAGUUGAAGUGAUAAUUUCCAAUAUGAGCAUGUCUUAACCCGAGCCCAUGUCUAGAGGUGCUAGUACAACCAUAAUUGUUCUACAUUCUACACUAAUACUUGAAAUAUAAGUUAAGUUCAUCGAUUGUAGAUAUAUAGACUACAGUAAGGAACAAACAAAUAUGUGUGCCAUUUGAGUUUGCCAUCCUAUGAAGACCUUUCUUGAAUGCUGAGGAAGAUUACAACAGAUACAAAGAUAAAGCCAACUGAUUUUAACUGUUGGAAUAUCAAAGAUUCUCUUUUUAGCUGUUGAAAAUUCCAAUAGAGUACAAAUUUUGAUGGAAAUGAAAGAUCUUAGAUGGGCCGAAACAAUGUUGCUAGAUUAUUAUAAGAAUUUUAUGUUUUCCCUACAAAGUUUAUUUGUAGGAAAAUGUUUGUAUUUGUGGAAAAAAAUUUGUAGACGAAAAACAAUUAGUAGGUACAGUUGUGGGCAAACAUCGAGGAGACCGGUAAAAGACAAUAAUUUUUUCUUUUUUUUUUUUUUUAAAUUUGUGGACUUAAGUUUUCCCUAUGAAGCCUUUGAAGAUGAAUACAAUUCGUCGCUUAAGUAUUUUUUCCAACAAAAUCAUUUGUCUUCUAAAGUUACAUUUGCCCCACGAAAAAGUUUUAGUUUUCCCUACAAAUUAUGUUGUCGGCUAAAUCGUAUGUUUUCCUACAAAUAAAUUAUCAUGUCGAAAGAACAUUUGUGAGCUAAGAUAUAGACAUUUUUUUAAUUAAAAAUUUGCAGUAACAUGAUACAUAGCAUUUUGUGGGCUAAAUUCUAUUUUUCUCUACAAAAAUAUUUUCAUGGAGAAAGCAUACUUGUAGGCUAUCAUGAAAAAGCUCACAGGGAGAAAUUAAAUUAUUUUUAUAUUUUAUUUUCUAUUUAUAUUAUAGCAAUAUUUUUAAUCUAAUUCAAAAUAAUAUAAAAAUACAAAGAGGAAAUAAAUUAAUUAAGACAUAUAGUAUUGAAUCUAAAAUAUUUGAUCAAAACACAAAUAAAAAAUCAUUCACCAAAUAUUGUUACAUCUUAACUCAAAAAAGAUUAUAGCAAGCAUUCUCUGUACCUAUUAUUAUGUACCAAAAAAAUAAAACUCUUCUUACUCGUGAAUAUAAUAUGCUGUUGAUCAUCACUAAAUUUGUUCUCUUCAUCAUCAAUAGCAUCAUUGGGCAAUGAUCAAACAGUAACCCUUAUUCACUGAGUAAUGUGAUCGAAUGAUGGCUCCAAUAUCUUAACCUAACAAACCAUGUACUCCGAAAUUUGUUGCUCGUCUACUCACAACAGAAUCAUUGAUGUGCAUGAACCCCACAACAUUCAUGACAAUUAUGAAAUCUUGUAUUUCUACUUUUAUUUCAUGCCAUAAUUCUCAUGCAAAGUUUACUUGGGAGUUUCCAGAUAUUACAAAUAGGGGCACUUUGUAACAUGAAUUACAUUGGUUUCUCAACUUUAUCAAUUUAUUAUUGGUAAAACCAAAAAUGUAGAAAAGUACUCCUCUUAAGUACUGUGGAAUUAGUUAAUUGACAUCUGAAACCAACAACCAAAUUACAAUAUUUGAAGAUGAUAAAUGCAACCUUACCAAAACUUUGAAUUGAAAUGGUUAUCAGAAAAUCCAAAAUUCCCACCAAUAGAAUUCUGAAAAAAGAUAAACAAGAACAAUUGUCAGAGAUUCAUGAGAACUAACAUAAAAAAGAGUACAUAUCACCCACGUAAAAAGAAAAGUGACAUCCAUGACCCUUUUUCCCACAUUAGACAACUGAAGACAAUCAUAGUCAAUUCCUUCAUAUUAAUGUUAUACAAUGCCUUUCUCUAAGUGUAUGUGUGUUUUGAGAUGUUUUGUACCUUGUAAGUAAAUACUGCUCCAGGGAAGCUGCUUUCACUGCAAUUUGGGGAAUAACAAGAGAAAUUUGACGACAUACUAUUUUAAUUGCAGGAUGAGGUUCUUCUGCAUUAAAAAAAAUGCGAUGCUAGAAAUUUACGGCUUGGGACAUAAUGAAACAAAUAAAAUUCUUGAACAAUCACUUUAAUAUUUUUAAUGAAUAAAAUUCUUGAACAAUCGUUUUAUUAAAACAUAAAAGUUUUCAAAAGAAACAAAAAAUUACAAACAACAUAUUCAAACUUAAAAUCUUCGAAACCCAAAUAAUGUGGUCAUCAAAGCAUCAAUAAAUCAUAACAUAGCAUUAUUAAAAUAUUUUAUUAGCUAGCAUCGCGUGCUUGCCAAUUCGUCAUCCGUCUCAAAUCACUAAUUAAUUAUUACCUAAAAAAGUUCACGUUUGAUAUGAGAUGAUGAUCUCACUAAGUAAAAUAACAUAACAUGAAUAAUAAAAGUCCAUGAGAUUUGUGAAAAUACUUGAUAAGACACAAAUUUAUAAGAAUCGAACUUCAUAGUUCUAAGUUCAUGCGUAGUGCUACUAAACUCCAUGAUUUCAUAACAUAGUCACAACAUUAACUCCCGUGACUUUAAACAAUGAAAUACAUAUAUUUCACUUACCUUGAAUCUGAUGAUCGUAUUAGCAUGUAGGAGAAUUGCAUUUUUGAAAAAAAAUGUUUUUUGCAUAAAUUAUUCCUUACCAUAAUACAAACGUGCAAUAAUUAUUUCUUACCAUGUAUGUGAUGUCAUUUAGAGAGGUUUUAUUUUGGUCCAAUUUCUUAUAUUUGGCAAUUUAGAUAUUUUAGGACUCUAUUUUCCAGUUUUACUUGAUUUCUAGGUUUUCUAGAAUUUAUUUCCUCUUAAUAUAUUCUAGGUUAUUUAGUAUAAAUAUGUUAUUUUCUCUUUAUUGUAAACAAGACUUUUUAUGAUGAAUUAAUGGAGAAUUCUCUCCAGAAGCUUUUGCUUCAAAUUAUCUUCUUCUUCUUCUUCUUAAACAUUGAACUUAUCAAGAAUUGAUUGUUCUUGUGGCGUUCAAAAUAACUGGUGUGAUUUCAAUAAAUUAUUUGUAAUCAAAAGGUCGGCAUGUCCAUGUGACUGUGUUGGUUGUUUGGUUCAUGAUUAUUGAGUAAAAUCCACAAUUUUGGGUGAAAUUCUUCGUGUUGCAUAAUCAAGAGGUCCUUCACAGCACCAAUCUUAUUAGGUUGCUUGGUUUCAAUAUUGUGAGUUGAGUCAAAACUUUGUUCUUAGCUUUUUUGGGAUCCGGUGUCAAGAUCUUGUGGGUUCAAUAGCGACCGUGCUAACCGGAUUCAUAUCAUUUGGUAUUAGAGCACAGACUCCAAAAUCAAGGUUAUAUCCAUUUUCGUUGUUUUUGUUGAGUCUUGUUUUUGUUUUCGGCAUUAUUUUGGUGUUCUUCAUGUUUGUCAUUAGUUUUGAGUAUUAGAUCUAAAAUCUUUGGAAGUUUAAUUGUGUUUGUGUUUUGAUAAAUAAAAAAUAAAAAAUUUAUACGGGUCCCAAAAAAAAUUGUGUCAAAAAAUUUCCCAAAAUUUACUGACUAAUUAUUUGAAUCAAAAAAUCUUUUUCUGUCUAGUCAAAUUCCAAAUCAAGAAUCACUUUCUUGAAUUUAUAAACGUUCCGUUAAAAAUCAUCCAGUUCAAUACUUUUGAGUCUUUGAGUCACAAUUCCCAAUUGGGAACCAAACAAUAUGUCUAAAAGGAUGAUUUGGCGGUUUGAGAGGAUGUUGGUGAAAAUGGAAGAUAUGGGAAAUAGAAUUGAUAGGCUUGAAAGGCUAUGUAGAAAUCUUGGUGAUGGAUUUGUGUAUCCACUGGAGGGUUGAACAUCAAUUGGGAAGCAUGCUGGUGUUACAUUGGAUUAUAAGCAUGAAUUCUAAAAAAUUCGCGACUUAAUUAAUUCUCACAUUGAUCAUGAGAAGGAACGAAAGGGCAAGAAGAAAAAUUGUGAGGUGGUUAACAAGAGAGUGAAACGGUGGUUAAGGGUGAAAUUACGAAAUGGGAAGUGGAGCUGCAAAAAAAAAAUGGAAAAGGAGAAGAGGGAGUUGGAAGUGAGCUUAAAUGAAGAGGAACAUGAAGUUGAGAGGGUGUUGGAGAAAACUAACAUUUCCCUCCCCAGCUUUGCUGAUUUUGUUUUGCAGGUUACCGAAGAAUCAAUCCCAAAAAAUGAUCACACCGGAAUACCACCCAUCCCAGAAAUUGAACAUCAGUUGGUACUAUAUCGAUUGGAUUUCCUUAUCUACCAAAAAUUGACUUUGUGAUUCCCGAGAAGACGAUUGAGUUUCAAAGGCAUUGGAGGAACUACAUAUGUAGAGAGUUGAUUGAGAAGAUAAACUGAAGGACAAUAUGAAUACAUUGGAAGUGACAUUGCGUCAAGUGCUUGGGCCAAGUAAAGCGAGGAAGAUGCAUGAUUAUUCGUCAAGUAGAGUUUUCAUUGGAACAUUUCCAACUUGCAAAAUUAAGUAGUCAAGAUGAGCACAUUUUGAUCUAUGUGAUGAUGAUUGGGUCUACAAUCAAAAGAGGAGAGUUCGAGGUCAAAAUAGGUCCAAAGUUGCAUUCGAGAGGUGAUGGGCCAUUUCAUGUGCUCGAGUUGAUUGAAAGUAAAGGCUAUAACUUGGAUAAAGAUUCGAGGACGAAUCCUCUUGAAGAGGGAGGGUCUGAUGUGAUCUAGAGAAAUUUUAUUUUGAUCCAAUUUCUCAUUUUUGGUAAUUUAGAUAUUUUCUGGUUUUACUAGAUUUUAUGUUUUCUAGAAUUUAUUUCCUCUUAAUAUUAUUCUAGGUUAUUCAGUAUAAAUAGGUUAUUUUCUCUUUAUAGUAAACAAGACUUUUUAUGAUGAAUUAAUAGAGAAUUCUCUCAAGAAGCUUUUGCUUCAAAUUAUCUUCUUCUUCUUGAACAUUGAACUUAUCAAGAAUUAAUUGUUCUUGUGGCGUUCAAAACAACGGGUGUGAUUUCAAUAAAUUAUUUGUAAUCAAAAGGUAGGCAUGUCCAUGUGACUGUGUUGGUUGUUUGGUUCGUGAUUAUUGAAUUAGAUCCACAAUUUCGAGUGAAAUUUAUCGUGUUGCAUAAUCAAAAUGUCCUUCACAGCACCGUUCUUGUUAGGUUGCUUGGUUCUAAUAUUGUGAGUUGAUUCCAAAAUCUUGUUCUUGGCUUUCUUGGAAUCCGGUGUCAAUAUCUUAUAGGUUCGAUAGUGACCGUGCUGACUGGGUUUGCAUCAAUAUAUUGAAUGUAUUUAAUUAUAGAUAUACUCUUUAAAUUAAAAUGUUAAUUUAAAGAUUCUUUGAAACAUGAUUUUAAGGAUUGAUUCUUUAAAAAGAGAACAUCUCAUUUAAAGAGUCUCUCUAAUAUACUCUUAUGAUUCUCGAAGAGUUAUUAUAUAUAUAUAUAUAUAUAUAUAUAUAUAUAUAUAUGUAUACACACACACACACACACACACAUAUACAUACAUACUUUAAAUAUCACACACACAGAGACAUAUAUAUAGAUCUCUCUCUCUCUCUACACACACACAUAAAUAUGUACACACACUAUAAAUAUCGGGUUAUUCCGAAUUAGCAUGUAUAGUCCCUCAACUAUGGACGAGUAUGACUUGGCCCCUAAACUUUCACCAAAAUGUGAUAUGAUCCCUAAAUUAUAGUUGAUGUGUAAAUUUGUCCCUAAACCUUAAUUUCUAUAUAAAUUGGUCCUUAUAUUAUGGUUAUCGAGCAUUUUGGCCCCUAUACUUAGGUUAAUGACAUGUAGAGAAUUUUAGGUUAUUAUGGGGGUGUUUGAUAGCCAUUUUUAUGUAAAAAUGCAUUUUAGAAUAGUAACUUGAUGGGAAGUGUGUGGCUGAAAAAUAAGGAAAAGUUUUUUAUUUACGCGUAAUAUUAUUUUAAUAAAAAAUGUGUGGUUGAAAAGAAGAGAAAGAAAAAUACAUUUUGAAAAAAAGGGGUACCAAAUAGGGGCUAUAUAUAAAUUGUGAAUAUAUCAGCAAACCACAAGAUUAGCAUCAUAUACGGUCCAAGCCCUUGGGAAUAAUGCAUGUAUGUGGAAGUUUGUCCACCUAGAUUCCAGUCCCAAGAUCCUAUCACAGAAGAUGAACUAUAACUGUUUAUCCACAUUAUUUCAGAGAAAUUUACAUGUUGAUUCUUUCGCACAAUAUUAUCUUACAAAGAAAAAAGGAGAGGUGGGGGGCAUCACUUGAAAUCAUUACUAAUUUCACAUAUCAAGUUAUUCGAAAAAAUAAAUUAGAAGUACAUGCUUAGUUUAACACUUCAAGACUUUUAGGCAUACCACAGUAGAGUACUUAUCCCCAUUGGGAUGUGAAACAAAUAUGCAAGUACUGUGAAACAAUAUAUUGUAAUCAUUAGUAAAUAAAAGUUAGCAAUAGAAAUGAAACCCAAAAACUAUCUCUUGUCAA